UUUUUUUUUUUUUUUUUUUUCUUUAUAAAUUCUUGCAACUAACUUCCUUCCUUCAUGUGCUAUCGAAAAAACAGAAGACUCAGAGAGAAGCUUGACAUUGAAGAAACAGAGGAGAGGAGUGCUACGGAUCCAUCUCUUUCGUGAUUGUUUCCCGCUCCGUCUCCUUCUCUUUAGGUACGUUCAGUUGAAAACCGCACUUGAGUAAUACUUUUUGUAAAGUCACUUGUGUUAUGCAUGAUAAAUAUUUUUCUCUUAAAUAAUAAAAUCUACGUUAUGAAACAUUUCUUACUAAAACAUCAACACAUAUGCAUUUUAAUAUUGUAAACUUUCUCACUGAAAUUAUAAUUAAUAAUAAUUCUAACAAAACAGUAUAUAUUCAUUUUAUUUUCUAAAUUUUAGGUAUGUUCUUCAAAUUUUAACACAUAUUUUAUUAUAUUCAUGUUUUAAAUAUAUUAUUUAAAAUUUAUAUAUAUUUAUAUUUAUAAACGAAUUUGACAAUAUUAUUGAAAUAAUAUGUACUUAUUGUGAUGUGUUUAACCAUUUUGUAAUUAUCUUUUUUUUAUUUCUUUUUCAUAAAUAUGUAUAUGUAAGAAAUUUUAAUUUUAAAGUACAUUUAUUAUAGAGAAAAAGACUAUGAUAGCACCAAACUAAAUUUUUGUUCCCAAAGUAGGACUCAAGUUUCAAAGUCACAAAAAUAGGUUUCAUUAAAGAGGUAAAUAUACACUUAUACCCUUUGGGUUAAUUAAUCCAAUCCUUAGAGUUUAGAGUUAAGGGGUAGAAUUUUGGAAUUAGGAUUUAAAAUUUUAUAAAAUAAAAAAUAAAUAGUAGAAUAAAAAAUAAAAAUUUUAAAAACAGUUUCAAAAAGUAUUUUUAAAUUAUAAAAAGAAAAAUAAAAAAAAAUAAAAAAAAAAUUCGAAAAAAAAGUUUCAAAAAUAAAUUAUAAAAAAUUUCGAAUCUAAAAACAUAUAGUCUGAAACUAUAAAAAAAUUUCUUUUUUUCAUUUUUUUAUUUUUUUUUAUUUGUUUAUUUAAUUUUAAACAAAAGAUAUUAGGGAUAUUUUACCCUUUAAUGAAUGUCAUUUUGUGACUUUCUUCUUUUAGUGCCAUUUUUGAGACAUAAACUUCAAAAGGUGCUAUUAUUGACAAUUGACCUUUAUUAUAUUCAUAUAUUAUUUAUAUUCUUUAACUAUAUUAUAUACUAUUUUAUUUUAUAACUUAAAUAAUUAUUCAAUACCGCAAAUACAUAUUGUCACCAAUCAAACAAUAUUUCGCACUGCUUUUUACAUAAAAUCGUAGUUGUACCGUACCACACUUUAAUUUUGUACUGCUUUUUUUACCAAAUCCGCCAUCAUCAUUCGGACCCUUAGUAUUAGUGGCCACGAUUUAGCUGAAAUAUUUUUGUAAUGUAUAUUUUUCCAAUUUUAAAACAAGUUUGAACAGUCAAUAAAAAUAAUAAUUACAUUAUUAAAUAUACAAAAAUAUGUCAUUUUUGUUCAAAAUUUAUUUUGUUAAAUUUUAACAAUUAAGUGCUAUACUAAAUAAAUAAAUUCGAAUAAAUAUAAGGUAUGAAUUUUUUUUUUAACAAAAGCUAUGGAGUUUUUAUAGUGGUAAAUAAAGAAAUUUCAAGUAACAUAACAAAAUAUUUUCUCAGCGUAACAAAAUCAUUUUCGUCUGCCUACGCGUAAUAAAAUCUUUAGACGACAACCGUGUGAUUUUCCUUUUUUACUUUUAAAGAUGCAGAGAAUCAAAUCACUUUUAACAGAAGCGUAUGACCUGUUAUCCUUUACCAGAUCUUAAACAGAAGUAAUUUAAAGCUAUUUUUGCCUAUUUGAAAGAGGCUUUGCUUAGUGGUGAAGUAGCCUCCUUCGUUUGUGGGGUGUUAUGUUUAAGUACACUCAUAUUAUAAUAACAUGCAACUCAAACAGAUAUUUCUAUUAGAGCUAAUUUGCUGAAUAUACUAAAAAUAGUGAGAUACCAUAGAAUGAGGGGAAAAUGGUAAUGAUAGGGGAGAAAAUUGGAAAGAUAUAGUGUAUGGAAUGCAAAUAUGAGAUAUUUGGUGUGUAGGGAGUACAAAUUCUCUUUCUAUUAUCCUUCAAACUUGGUUUAUCUUUUAAAGAAAAGAUAUCUCAUAUAUAUUUAUUAGAGAUAUUAGGAUCACACAUGUGACCCGGUCCCGAGAGUUUGGAGGUCCUAGACCAUUUAGUAAAAAUUUCAAAAAUUUAUGGACUUAACUUUUUUUUUUUACAAAUUUAAAGGCCUAUUUACAUAUACAAUUUUUUUUUAAAAAAUUAGGAUAUGAGAAGAAUGUUUCAUUAGGCUUGGCAAAGGACUGACUCCGGUCACACGAGGAUUGCACCGAAAUUAGAUGCAUGCCUUUUUCGUUGUGUCGUACACUUAAUGUCAAUGUUAGGCCUAUCGCCAUAGCUUAUGAACACACAUAGGAACCUAAGAUUGUGUAUCAAAACUGACGAAUUGGCACUUUCGUUUUUCUAUUAAAUGAAUUGGUUUAUAUGAACACUUUAUCAUCAUUUCAUAAAAUUUAUUUUUUUAUCACAAAGUUUCCUUCGAAAAUUGCUUACCUUCAAAACUUGUUUUUUUCUAUUUUUCUUCGGAGUGACAGAGAUUAUUAUUUCUUUUAGUAGAGAUUUCCUUCAAAUUUAAAGAUUUCAGAAUUUUUUUUUGAUUUUUUUCUCGAUCCCUUACAAAGUGAAAAGUAUUACAUGUUCAAAAAAAAAUCCAGCAUCCUAUCUUAUUUGUUAGAUUUUGUUUGGUAAUAAUUUGUCGAUUCUAAAGAUGGAGUUUCACCAAUUGCUUGAACAUAUGUUUGCAGCCGAUGAAAAAUCCUCUGGUGAACGAGUUAAUCCCUACAAAAGAAUAUUAAACAAACUGAAUCCAUACUCGACACCCUCGACCUAAAAGAGAUUGAGUAUAUGUGGAAUUCUACAUUUGAUAAGAUCCUGGCGAUUGGCGUGAAUCCCUCUAUCUCUAUAUAAUUCAGUCAAUUUAUUACUGUCAGAUUUUUGAAAGUCAAUAAGAAGUAUGAGAUGUGGAUCCUCUUUGCUGGGAAGCCCGGUCCGAAUGUCACUUAGAGAGUUUGCUAUCGUCAUGGGUCUUAAAUGUUGGAAAGUUGCUAAAGCAUCAAAGUGGAAGAGACGCGAUCCUUUGAACAAGAAGCUUUACUAGAAUGAUCUUUUCGGAUUAUUGAAAUGUAUGAAGAAGAGUAACGUGCAGAACAUAAAUAGCAGAAUUAAGUAUGCAUGUCUAACUAUUACCCCAUCUAUUAUAUUGCCUAAGUCUCAAUGUCCCUUAUACUUUAUCAUGAGCAUGUGGUGCUGAUUCGCAACACUGAUGAAUUUAUGGCUUGUCUUUGGGUCGUGCUGCAUACGAAAUGUUGGUGUCAUUCAUGGUUGGAUAUGAUGAAAUUUCAUUGUCCCAAAGCUUUGUUGCACUGAAAGGAUAUGUUGAUGCAAUUCAACUAGUGAUGAUUUCUGCUGUUCCACCGCUUAAAGAGGUGGUAGUUCAGAAUGAACAUGCGGUUGUGAUUGAAUCAGAUAGCGAGAUUGAAACAACUUCUAAAGAUCACAUGGAUAUGUAUACCUAUAGGUAUAGGGGAUAUACCCUCCGCUGUUGUCAAAGUGGGGGUCAUUCAUGGGCAUCCUAGAUAUCUAGACUAGGAAUGUCAGAUAUUAGUAGAUAUUCCCUUUACAUGUUAUAAUUUGACCAAUUCGAAUAUUUUUUAUCUGCAAGUUGGUGGUUAUGAUUGUUUCGAUUGGUGUGAAGUCUAACCGAUGGAUUACCAAAUCAUGUAAUGGAUUUAAUGAAUAUGUAACCGUUAUAAAGCACAAUUAUUGGCAACAUUUCAAUUAUUUUGUUUAUGUAUUAUUAACAUUCUAUCUAUCAGACUAGCAAGUAUAAUAUUAUGUUUUAACUAACAUUAUUAGUGAUGGUGUACUGAUUUGUUAGCAGUUACGUGUCCGCUAAUAUUAUUUAUGAUGAGUGUACUGAUAUGUUAACAGAUACGAAUGACAAUGCAAUAUAAUGUAAUAACAUUUUGAGUUUUAUGCAUUAUGUAGGUGGAUGUGAAAUAUAUAUUAGAUGACCAUGCAGAGGACUGUCCAUUGGGUAUAGAUCUUGGGUGGUCUGAUGAAGAGGAAGACGAGGUUAUUGAUAAUUUGGUGCGGUUUGUCGGUGAAGAUUAUAUUUUCCACAAUGAAAUAUUCAAAGGUGGGUUAGACAUUGCUGAUUUCGUUUGGAUAAGGAAUGAGAGGAAGCAGAAAAAGAAAGAAGCAAAAAAAAUAAAGACAAAAGGCAACGUUAACGAGACAGCUAACGUUGAGGCUUCAGAUCCAACACUCACAGAGCAAGUAGAGAGCUUGUUACUACACAACUGAAAGAUAAAAUCAAUGAUGUAGCCAAUGUUUUGUGGGAGGGCUUCAAAGUCAUGGAGCGGAGCCGCAGAAGAUGGACAAAGUUGUGGAUGAUAAAUUGGAGAAAUUGUUUUUAUUGACAAAAUGGCAAGGGCAAAAUUGGCACUUUGAAGCCAAAAUGGUAAGUGGAAAUCAGUUUCUAAGCGAACAUAUGUAGCAACCAAAUUAUUAUCUCUAACUUGAAUAUUUAACUAAUUAUCUCAUAUUAUUAUCUAGAGAUGCAAUUGUAAAACCAUCUUCAGGAAAAAGAAAUAAAAAAUAUUCGAAUUAUAACAAAAUUUAUAUUAAAAAUUAAAUAAAUUGGCACUAAUAUAUAAAUAAUUUAAGCCAAUUCACUUGUUAUAAAUUAAUUUUGAGUUGAAAAUUUAUUAAAUUUAAUUUAUGUUUUUUUUAGUUAUUCUUUAGAGAAGGACCUUUUAAAAUAAAUUCAGAAAAAUCAAAUUGCUAAAUUUUACACUAAAAUUUGAAUAAAUCUACAUUAGAAUAUACCAAAUUUAUGUCAAUUUACUCGUUACCAAUUAAUUUCUAGUUAGAAGUUUAUACAACUUAAUAGUUAUAAGGUUUUGGUUAUAUUCAUUAUAUCGAAACUGAUCAUAAUAACCCACAGAAGGUUACUAACGAUUUUAAAAUAGAAUUUAGUUUACCUUUAUCAGAUAAAAAAACAUUUCAGUUGAGAAUAUUAAGAUCCUAUAUUAAAACUUUGAAUAUACCAACAUAAUAUAUGAAAAAAUAUAAGUCAUAACUUAUUCUGAACUGGAUUUGAACUCCAAACCCAAAAAUGUGAUAUAAAUUUGAAUUCUAAUUUGCUAUAUUGAGUUUAUGGCUAACUUUCUAAUAUUAUCAUAUUUCAUAGUAUUUAUAAUAUUUUAAAAUAUAUAUAUCAACAGUCAAUAUAAAUCGGAUUUGAUUCAUGUAAAUAGAGAUAUACUUACCCUUCUAAUCUAUUAGUUCAUAAUCACUAUAUAUAGAUAAUGAUUCUUACUCUUAUGUGUGAUCUAUGAUUUAUGUCAUUGUAAAUACUUAUAUUUUUAGAAUUUCAUUAAGUAUCUUAAUGUCAUAGACUACUAAUUAACCAAACCACAAAUUAAUGAAUUUACAAUAUUUUUUAAUUUAAAUUAUAUCUAUAUUUUAUAACAAAUCUUAUAGUUUUAAUGUAUAUUUCAAAUAAUUUAUAACAUUGUAAGUACUUAAGUAAUAUUAAAUAUAAUUACAAACUAAUAUUAUGUCAGAGUUUAAUUGAAAAUAAGAAUCUACUGAUAGUUUUAUAUAAGUAUAUUAUAUAACAAUAAUAGUUACUUAAAAUAAAUAUAAUUAAACAGUUUUGUAUAAUAUUUUUUUUAUAGAUUAUAAAAUCAAAUUGAAGUAUACAUACAAAAACACACAAUUUCUUAGAAUGAUAUUGUUUUUUCUAAAAAUAUAAAAUAGUUCAAAUCAACUCAAUACAUACUAAACUUAUAUCACACAGUUUUACAAUGACUGGUUUAAUAAGAAUAAAACUAGAGCUUGACCCGCGCACCCGCGCAGGUGUUAGUUUUUUUUAUAAAUAAAUAUUUAUUUGUAUAAGUGAUAAUAUAUAUUUUAAAAGUUACCCGUUUAAUUUAUUUUUAAUAUGACAUUUCUAAACACAAUAAUUCUAUAGUUUAUAUUGAGUAGUUUUAUUUUAUCAUGUAAACCCUUAGUUAUAUCAUCUAUUUAUUUAGAAUAUGACCUGUAAAGUCACACAAAUGUAUUUUUAUUUUUUAUGGAUCAAAAUUUUAUGAUUAUAUAUAAUAAAAUUGUUGUAUAAACUAUUUUUAUGGAUCACAAUUUUAUGAUUAUGUAUAAUAAUAUUUUUGUAUACUAUUUACUAUGUAUAUGUGGAAUUAGUAAAAUAAUUACCGUAUAAUGUAUGUAAUUAUGAAAUGUAUAUAUGGAAUUAAUUAUUUUCAAACACACAUAUGUAUAAUAAAAAAAAAAGAAAAGACAAUUAAUAUUAAAAUUUAGGUUUACUAAUUAUUGUUACGAUGAUUUUUUAGUUAGAAUUUGAUUUUGGAAAUACAUUAAUUGAAGAGAAAAGACAAAAAUCCUAAAAGAUAGGUUAAUUAAUAACUUCAGUGGCAUGCUAUUGUAAAUAUAGUGGAAAACUAAUGGAUAAUCUAAUUUUGUACUCCUCUUUUAAUAGAUUAGAUAUUAUUAAAAAAAUUAAAACACUUUUAUGCUAUAGUACGAGUCAAAACAUAAUAUACCCGUGAACAUAUAUACGUAAUUUGUUUUAACAACUGUUUUCUUUAAACCUAGAAUGAUCAUGAGAUUUCAAAUCCUAUUCAAAAUUGGGAUCAGAAAUCCAAAAAAAUCUAUAAAAUGAGGUGCAGAUUGAUUGUCACUUCGUGGAAUAACUUGUAAAAUUUCUGAUUUUUCGAGACUAAAUUACAAAACACCUUGAACAUUAAACUGAAUAAUACUGAGCAUUGUACGGAUAAAACUCUAGUAACUAAAUUAUAAUUGGGUUGAUGUUUGGUAAGAUAAAUAUAUAUAUUGAGCUUUCGAGAGUAGUAAUAAUUUGCCGAAAGUGCUGACUGACUUAUAAGACAUUUAUAAUUUAUCAAAUUCAAUAAUCAUAAGCUAAGUGAUAUCAUUGAUAUGUCCAUUACAUGUUUAAACUUUAUUAGAGAGGUUCAAUGAAUAUAAAACAAUCGUUGUUUGGGAAUAUUCCCAUCAAUUACAUCAUUGGGAUUUUUAUAUUAAUUCCUCAAGUUAGAGUGAAACCAAAUAUCUAUUUGACAUCUCUUUCUUACCAAUUUUAAACUAAUUGAGAAAAAUAAAGGAAUGGUCCAAGUUAAGGGCUGACCUAUGGGUUUUAGUUGCAUGCAGUGGCAUUAUUUUUUAAUUUAUACACAGUUACUUUUCUCCUCAUCUUUCCACUAUUCUAUUUUCUUGCUCAAAGUUGGAGCCAACCUCUUUAUACAUUAAGCAUAUUUUAUAUUCAACUAUAUAAUAAUAUGAAGUUUUGUGGUAUUUUGGAAUAAUCCUCUUAAUAUAAACAAUUUGAUUUUACAUAUCUUUCUAAAUAAACCUAUUAGAUAAAUACUAUUAAUAUGGAUAUGUUUGGUUGUACUGACAAAUAAUAAUUAAAAAAAAACAUUAGGAAAAGAAAACAAAAAAGCUAAAUAAGAGUAUGCCAUAUUUUGAUGGCCCCUUCCAACCUAACUUUGCAUUUUAUUUUCUAACUAUCUUUAAGAAAUACAUUAUACAUAUUCCUGUAGUUAAUACUUGAUAUGUAAACCGGGACGUCAUACUUAAGCAACACACUUAGUUCUAAAAUUUAUAUUAAAAUGGUGUGAAAUGUAUAAAAUUAAUAACAAUAUAUACAGUUUUUGGCAAAUAAAGAUCAUCAAUACAUGGUGAAUAAUUAAAGAAAGGACGUUCUGAAUGAUAUUAUCUGUAUUUUCUCCUAUAGAUACCACAAAAUAUUUAUACAGCUCUUAAAAUAUUUCAAAAAAAAAUCCUUAAUAUGGUAUCUAGAAAAUAAUUUCUAAAAAGUGUGCUUGUUUUAGAACAUAUGUAGUUAUGUGACUCUAAUUGGUGGUCAUAAAAAUAAAAAUAAGAAUAAAUAGGAAAAAUAAUAAAAAUGAAAAAAUAAUAGGAAUGGAAAGGAAUAUAUGUUACUUAUGGUUCCUUCUCAAAUUUGUUAAGGAAUGUUUCUGUUAUAUAUACUAGGGCCUAUUGUAUACUUCUUUAACAAAUGAGUAUAUAAUGAAAAGAAAUCAUAUGAAAAAUUCUUAAUAAAUAGUGUAAUAUUUAAGAAAUGAAAGGAUUUUGUUAUUCUCAUUUAUUAUUUUGGUCACCAUUUAAAGCCUUGUAAUUGACAUAUUGAACUAAAUAAACUUGUUAUAUUUAUAGAAGACUCCUGAUAAGUCUUACUAAAUAAACUUAUGAGAUAACUACUAGUCUACUACUAGUAUGUAUUUCACAUAACCCUAAUGCUCUAGUUGGUCGUUAUUUGAUCUCUGAUUAAGGACCGGGUUUUAGUAGAUUAUUAGUCGUUUAUACAAAUGAAAAAUGAAUGAAGUUCCAGAAAAAAUGCGCUAUAUCCCCAUGUGAAUCAUGUGAUUAUGUCCCCUGGCUAUGCUUAGAGGUUAAGUGUCAACAACUUUUAUAUUGUUUUCGAAGUAUUACUUUUUCCUGCCAGAUGAUUAUUCGUUUGUUCUUAAUUUGAACUUUGAUGUAUAUUAAGAGCCGUCCAUUGAGAACAUGGCUUGCGCAACGCACGUGGUUUCGUACGGUGCAGAUCUAUAAAAGAGAUUCCCGUUGAAAACGUCGUCGUGAACUGUAGUAGAAGUAGGUGACGUGAAUUAUUAACGUAUAAUUACCAACUGUAACUAAAAGCCGCACGAGGUGAACUGAUAAAAAGGUAACUGUUGUCAAAUUGAUUAGCCUCCACCUUUGAUUCAAUAAAAUACAGUAUAUCAAAAUAUUCAACACCAAGAACGACGUAUGUAGUAACAAAUUUAUUUAAAAAUUACGUAAACUUUUUCUAAGAAGGAUGCAAGACAUUUGAUUGUUUAUUUCCUAUUUUUAUCUUUUAACAUCUGGUCAACUUUUACAGACCUAUUUGUCUAGCUUGCUAUACAUUAUUAAUCCUAGUACAUUAUUAAUCAAGCUAUUACAAAACAUAACAGAUAUACAUUUACCAUUUAUAUAUUUUCCUAAAAAUAGACAAUUAAAAUAUAGUUUUUCUAUAAAUUACAAAACAGUUAAUUUAUAUAAAUGAUGAAACAAUAGAUGUAGGGAGUGAUUGGCUAGUAUGCAGUAAGUGCCUCUAGUUUAAUUUUUAUUUACAACCUUAAAAUUUACCAUUAAUAAUUUAUCUAUUUUAUUAAAACUGAAUUAUAAAUAUGAACCAUCCCUUAGAAUAUUUUUUAAUUACGUCUAAUGUUAUUUCUUUUACAUUAUUAACUAUAAUUAUCGUUAAUAGAUUAACUUACAAAAACAUAAUAAAUAUAUGUUUCCAUAAAAAUGUAUAUGUGUUGCAAAAUUGGGUCAUAUUUAGCUACCACAUAAAUGUAAUAGAUUCCAAUAUUUCAUUUCGUAAAAUAAAAUUUAAAAUAUAAAAGCAAAAAUCUGUAUAUUCAUAUAAUAAAACCAAAACAUAAGCGUGUAACAUAUACAUUAAUUAUAUAAUCUAUAAAUUUAAUUAUUUAUUUCCAUAUACAUUUAAUUGCAUAAAUUCACUCAAUUUUUUAUUAGUUAAUUUCAUUUUAUUAUUAAUGGUAAAUCAUAAAUACACACACACACACUAUAUAUAUAUAUGGUAGAACAUUCCAUUUAUUGCAUUAUAUCUCAUUAUCUAUUUCUUUAAAUUGUGGAAUAUCCUUUAAUUAAAUUGUUAGUAAUAUUUGUAGUGAUAUAAAAGCUACAAUAAAAACUUAAUAUUAAAUUAUUCUGAUCAAUAAUUAAUAUAUCAAUACUGUAAAUAAAUAAAUAUAUAUAUAUAUAUAUGAUAAUAUUCAACAAUUUAAUAAUAUGUUUUUCACAUAUAUAUAAUUUUGUCUAACUAAUCCAAUACAUAUCUAAUAAGAUAAAUAUAUAACAAACCCCCACUUACACAAUAUAUAGUUUGAAACAAUAACUUAAAUUAUUGCAUUAGAGUUAUAUAAUUAUUGUGUGUUUAAAAUGUCCAUAAAACUGAAUAUUUAAUAUGGAAAAAUGUUAAAAACAAUAAGAUAUACACAUAUAAAAUAAAUAUUGAUGGAUAUCUCUAUAAUAUUAUUUGAGAAGUCAGUUUAUUAUGUGUCGCACACACAUUAAUUCUUAUGACGGUUAUUUACAGAGGUACCUUUAAUGAAAUACAAAUAUUAAAUUUAAAUACUAUUGUUUUUUAUUUUUUUAGUUUACUUUUUAUUUUUUCCAAAACAUAUAUAAAAAAAGAAACAUUCAUAAAGUUUAAAAACGAAUUUAAAAUCGAAAAUAUUAAGUUCACAAAAAGUAAUAUUAAGUUUAAAACAUAUUCUUACAUAAUAAUUAUUAUUAUUGGAAUGUUUUUUCAUAAUUUUUAGCUGACUAUAAUAUCUUACAAUUACAGAAAAAAAAAACACUUAUUAUUAAUAUGAUUCCACAAAAUAAUCACAAUUUUAGUGCUCAUUUUAAGAGAUAUUAAAAAUGGAACCUAAAAAUAAUUGUUUAUGAUAAGAAUAUUUUGAUCAAAUAAUUACAGAUUGUUUUUUAAAAAGCAUAUACUUUUAAUGAGGUAUAUAUAUAUUAUAUUUUAUCUUUAUUAAAAAAAAUCUUAAUAUUUGGUUCCUUUUUAAUUUUAUAUUUUCUUUAUGUUUGUGGAACUUAAUAUAUCCAUAAUCAAAAUACCCAACCAAAUCUGAAUUUUCAUUUUUAAGAUUAUUUAAAAUAAUUUUCAGUUUACCUUUCAAUAAAUCUAAGGCAUACAAUUAUUUAGAAUAUAUAAAAUAUAUAAUUAUUGUAAAUAUUGAUAUUCGUUUAUGGUCUUACAAAACUUUAUCAGUUAUACUAUGUAUGUAAUUUCCUACUGAUCAUCUCUUUAUUUUCUAAUAUUUUUUUAAAAAAUCAACAUAUAAUUUUGAUAAAUAUUAUGAAAAUACAUACACAUUUAACCGAGAAAUAAAACUAAUUUGAUUUGACUUGAUUAGAAUAAAAAUAAUUAUACAUGAGUUUGAAUUUGAAGAAUAUAUGUAACUUAAUAUACUCACAGUCCAACUUAUAUCCAAAAUCAAAGAUUAAACUACAGUAACAGUUGACAAAAAAAAACUACCUUAACAAAUAAUUUUAUAAUAAGGAUCUAUUUAUUUUUAUACAUAUAAAUUAUAGGAUAACUCAAACUCUAUUAAUAAAUAAAAAUAAAAUAUUAACUCAUUGUUACAAUAUAAUUUUAUAUAUAUGCAUGAGACUUCAAAAUAUUAUCAUUAUAUUCAUUUAUGUAAUUUUGAAUUAAACAUUUUAGUUUAUUUUAUUUAAUUUUAAGCACAAUAUAUAUUAUGUUAUACAUAAUAUUACGAAAAUAUAUAUGCAUAUCUAAGAAAAUAACCAAUCUAAAUACAAAUAAGAAUUUAAUCAAAAUUAACUAUAUUUAGAAUAAAAUAUUAUAGUUGAAUUCGAAGAAAUAGAUGCAAUCCAAUAUACCAAAGUAAUAAAUAAAUCGAUUGUUGAUCAAAAAUAAUCAAACCGACUAGAUAUAACGUAUCCAAAUCAUAUGUCUAAUCAAAAUAAUAUAAUAUUAUUAACAUAAAUUAUACAUAUAAAUUAUAAAUUGAUUUUAACUAAAAGUAAAUAUCAAUUAAUUAUAGUAUUUUAAUUUUAUAAAAAUUUAUAUCCGUGCAUGAACACACAAAAAUCACCUAAUUAAAAGUAAACAAAGAUCCAGCCGCAUUGAUCAAACUCUAGUUAUAGUUUUAAAAGUCACCGCUAAAACACUAAAGAAAUGAAUGUAUACAAAACAUUAUUUAAUAAGUUGUAGGAGAUAUAUAUUAGCUUUCAAAAAAAGUUGUAGCGAAAAUAUAUUGCUAUAAGAAUUUUUUUCCAUUUAAUUCUUACAACUACAAUCCUAUAAACUAAAUUUCCCAACAAUAUUUCUACCAUUACAGCCUAUCCAAUAAACCUCCUAGUACUCUUAAUAAAGACACAUCCAAAAUAUUUUAUGAAUUGCUCAAUACAAUAAAAUAUUAAUAAUCAAUUAAUAGAUGAGUAUUUUAAGAUAUACAUUUUAAUUUAGAAAAAUUAUAGUCUUUGUAUUUACAAAUUAUCAUAUUAGUAUUUUCGUUUACUGUAUUUUGAGAAUUUACCAUGGGGAGCUUACCGUGAAGGUGCUCCCGUGCUUCUUCCACCCUCCUUUAUUUCCUUAAACAAAAGAAGAAAAGAAAAGUCAAGUGGAUGCUUGAGAUUUUGUUUCUAUAUAAUCUACAACAAACCCUUCAUCAAAAACCUCUUUCCCCUUCACUCUAUCAUCUUCCUAAUCUCCGUCAUAUUCCUCUGUUUUUUGGUUCUUUAUAUUUAUAGAUCUCCUCUGUUUCUUCUCUCUCCUCUGUUUUUCUCUUCUAUCAUCUAUAACAAAACCCAGACCGAGGAAAAACACAUAAAAACUGAAACUUUGAUGGUAGGAAACUAAUGACUCCGGUUCUCUGCGAAAUCUUGCUCUCUGGGCUCACGGUUAAAUCUGCUCUCCGCCGUAGAACCCAUCUCGUUCAAUCAUUCUCCGUCGUCUUCCUCUACUGGUUUUACAACGUUUCAUGAAUUGCUGACAACCCUCAAAUCUAAUCCUUAAACUAAAAUUAAUUUACAUCAUAUAUUAAUUAUUUUCAGACAAUUAAAAAACCCACAAACCAUUUGUCUUUUUUCUUUUUUGUUCUUGUAAUUUUCUUUGUUAACCCUUUUUAUGAUCGACGGCUGUGGAUUCGAUGAUCGUACGGUUGGGAUUAACAGCGACGGAUUUUACGAUGAUAUGAUGAGCGGCGUUAAUCACUGGGGUGGUUCGGUUUAUUCUAACCAGCCCAUCAUGGCUAAUGAUAUCAACAUGUAUUAAAUUAAAAUUAAUUAUAAAACUAGUACUAUUGGCCCCUUUUAUUUUAAGUUUAGCUUUUUAUCUUCUUGUGUUGGUGUGGAAAUGUAAUAUUAUUACAUAUGCAUCCUGAUUGGUUGGAAGGAUAAAUAAACAUAUAUAUGGGCAUAUAUAGGCUGUCCUUUGUCAUGUAUUGUUGUGUGCUUUUUUUGUUAAUUAAUAAUAAAAAUUUCUAAAACUUUUUGUUUGGUAUGAUUAUGUUAUCAUCAUUUUGUUUUCUCCUUGUAAACCUAUACAUUUUUGUUGUUUGAACAACACUAUACAUCUUCUAUUUGACGAAAAAAUAUUGUAAUCUUUUUUUUUAAAUCAACAUGAAUUAUUCUUUCUUACUUCUUAUAAUACGAUUUUUCAAACUGAUUAGUGAGACUAUGAAAAUAUUUCCUCUAAAGUAUAUCAUUUUGAAAGAAAAAAACAAAUGAUAUGAAUAAUAGUACACUAAAUUUGAAAGACUAUUAUUCACAGCCUCACUUUGAUAUUGAACUUUGUUUUCUAAGUUGAUCUUUCGAUUUUUACAUAAUAUUCAUAUAAAUCAUUGUAUAUUCUAUUUGAACUAAAUUUAUAUAUAUAAUAAAAAUUAAUUUAAAAUACAAUUAAUUUUUGGUAAAAUAUGUAAAUUUUCAAAAAAAAGUAUUGUUAAAAUAUCAUAAUAAGUAUUAAUAAAAGGAUAUACUUAAUAUAUUUUUUUGAGGAUAAAAAUGAGGAGAACUAUUGGAAUAAAAUUCAAUUCAUUUUAAAUUGGGUUUUUAUCAAAUAUGACUAAAAACAAAAAGUUAAACACAAAACUAAUCCAUAUUUUUUUUUGGAAUUUUCAUUUGCCCUAUUCACCCCAAAAGUUCGGAUUAUUCAUAAAAAUGCCAUUAUUUUUUUUUCUGAAAAUGAAUGUUUUACACUAUCAUCUUCGUCUUCAUCAAGAAUUUACAAUAUUAUCAUUACCAUCAAUACACCAACUUUCACAGAUCUUAAGACUUUAUUUUGUGGUAUACAAAGAUGAAGACUCUCUUGUCAGGGUUAAAGAUAGAAACAGAAGUGGAAUGAAGUAAUUUUACCUUCGAUUACUAUUACAGAUGUAAAAAUAUCAAUGAGUUAAAGAUAACGGCCCUAAUUUGUGUAUUGUGUCAUAUAGUGCAUUAUGUCAUAUAUACCCAUAGUGCAUUGAGUAAUGACAGAUUGCAACAAAAUAGAAAACAAAUUUAUUAACAAUCCAUUCCAUCAUGAUCAUGUACAAAGUAAAAAGUUUCAGUAAAUAGAUGUAAAAUGAGUGAUUUACACUGCAGGGCAGUUUACAAGUUUCAAUAUCACAAUAAGGCAGUUAUUGCUACUUGGACAGUUUCUGAGUGAAAUGUCUUAACUUGUCCCUGAAAAAUGUGUAACUGGUGGGGUAAAAUUGGAAAAGGGUUUUUAGUUUUCUGGUUACGUUUUUAAAUUUUAAAAUGAGUGAGUGGACCUAAUGAAAGAGAAUUUAGGAAUUACCAAGCGUAUGAAAAAAUAUUGUAUUUUAAAUUUCUAACUUUUGUUGGAGGAAUUUGAAUCUUUAGAAAAUAGUUGCUUACAAUUUUUUUUAGGUUGGAGGAUGAAACAACAGAGAUAGAGAACGUGAUAGAGAGCUAUCGGAGAAACUAAUUUUUAUAUAUAUAUUUUUUUUUUUGGUUUUGGGUUCUAAUCUAUUAAUCUAUAUAAUAUGUAUAAGUUCUAGAGGUAAAACACAAAAACAAUGAAAAUUGCAUGAUAAAAAUCAAUGGCGGUUGUGAGUUAUAUUUGCAGGAAACACAGAAAACCCUAAUAGGAAGAAGAUGAAGUUAUUACAAAAUUGCCACUCAUUAAAAAAAAAUAAUUGAUGACCACGCGGAUGUGUACAUAAUGCUAGUGUACACAUGUUCCUGUACAAGGAUACAUUGGAUGACUACGUAGAUGUGUACAUAAUGUUAGUGUACGCAUGUAUAUGUGCACAUAAUGUUAGUGUACGCGUGUACAUAAUGUUUGUUUUUGUAAAUAUAAAGAUAAGGAAGUGUGGUUUACGUGAAUUAAACAACAUGAUUAUAUAUGUACAUGUGUACAUAUUUACAUGUGCACAAACACAACACAUAUAUAUCUUUUACAUGUGUACAUUGUAUAUUACUAAGGCAAUGUUCAUAAAAUUGUGUAUUCUCACUAAAAUCUUAAAAUCAUGUUUUAAUUCUUUAAUGCCCUGAAAAAUAAAUUAACUGAACUAAAAUCAAAACCAAAAAUCAUAAGAUAUGAAUAAAACACAAAAUCAUGUGAAAUAUUAAGAAUCAAAAAUAUACAUAUGAAAGUAGUUUUGUGUUAUUCAACAUACGUUUGAAGACACGUCAAGAUUUACAAAUGCAUCAGUGUUGUGUUUAGAAAACGUACAAAUGAACCAAAGUCAUGUAGAUACCUAUCGAUGUACACAUGGACAUUAUCAGACAAAAUGAACACAUGUACACUAUAAUAUAUAUGUACACAUAGACAUCCUACUAAACAUUGGAUGGUUAAGAAACCGUUAAUUAUGGCCUGUAGAAGAAUUCAUUAAUGAGUCUUGUUUAGAUGGUUAAGAAAACCGUUAACUAUGGCCGGUAGAAGAAUUCACUAAGGUUAUAAUCCAUGUGAAUGUAACAUCUUUUUUUUACUCGCGUUCGAGAUCGUGACACAAUCACUUCACGCUGGAGAGAUUUACCAUUGUUUUUUUUGAAAGGGAUUUACCAUUGUUGCUUAAGCUUUCUCUCUCCUAUGAUAGUUUAGACGAUGGCUGAGAUUUAUAGAAGAGCUCGAUUUAAGCGGAAGAAACGCAGAGGUGAAGAUUAUGAAGAAGAUGGCGACGGAGCUUCGACGGUGGAUUCAAAACGGUAAGUACCAGAAAUUAAAAGUGACUUGAAAAUCUCCAGAUCUAUCUUUGAAAUAGCACUUUGCAUUUCUUUAGUGGAAAUUAAAACCAAAUGGUUCACGACCAGAGAAAACAAGAAUAAAACUAUGAAAAAGAUAAAACUUUGAUUUGGAACGUUGUUGGUCUGAUUCUUAUUAAUUCCUAAGAAGUCAAGCUAUGUGGUAAUUGUUGACAUUUUUGUCUGUUUUUUUUACCACAUAUGACAUUUUUGUCUGUUUUUUUUGCAGAAGCAGAGAGAGAGAGAGAGAGAGAGAGAGAGAGAGAGAGAGAGAGAGAGAGAGAGAGAGAGUCACCAGGAAAUUGAACAAAUCUGAGAGAGAGAGAGAGAGAGAGAGAACAAAAAGUGGUUGUGACCAUAGUUUCCUUUUGGCUAAUAAAAGAAAAUAACAAUAUUUAGUUAACUUAUUUAGUUAGGAGUUUUAGUUAGUGUAUAGAUAUAAAUUGGGUUUGGUUAGAAAAAACUGCUCUAGUAGCAAGAACUGUCUAAUAGUGUUAUAAAAAUCUUAAAACUGUCAUUCAAUGUAAUUGUUUCUAAAAUAUAAUGCACUAUAGGUAUAUAGGACAUAUGCUACUUACUUGAUCUGUGACAUCUGUCAUAAUCAUGACAUGUCCGUAACGCUAUGAUAAACUAUUUGUGUACUUUUUUUCACAUUAGAGUUUUAGAACCUUUAUAAUAUCUUGAAUGGCCGUGUUCUUUCCGAUUUGAGCCUUAUUGGUUAUCCUAACAUUUAAUACUUUUCCAGUAAUUGGAUAUACUGCAUAGUAAUCAUGUUUUUCACCACUGAAUGGCAGCCCAGACAUCAGCCCAGACAUCUGAAAAGUAAGUAUUAGGAGACUUAGAGCAUCUCCAAUGUAUUACUCUAAAUUUUACUCCAAAAUGGUGUAACUCCAAAAUGAAAUUGGAUUUUACUCUAAUGCAUUACUCCAUUUUUUUACUCCAAAAUAUAUAUUCCUUUUUUAUUUAGUUAAUAAUUGUUAGUAGUACCUUCAACUUAUAAAAAUUUAACAAUUAACACAACUAUUUUAUGUUUGCAAAAUUUUCAUAAUAAUAUAUUUUAUUUAAAUUAAGUAUUUAUCAUUAAAAAUAUAACUAGAGAUUAUCUUCCAAUUUCAAUUCAUGCAGUUUUUAUCAUAUGCAAUUUUUUAAAUUCAAAAAUAUUUAUAUGCGUUAAAAGAACAUAAAGAAAAAAUAAAGUUUUCUUUUGUUAUUUGAAUUAUGUAGUGGGUCCUAUUGUUUGUGCAUAUAUCAAGUUCAAAAAGUACAAAUGUUAUCAAUCAAAAUUUUGACCCACAAGAUUAAAAACUCACCUAUUCCGUAUGAAUAAUACUUUACCGAUUUUGGUAGUUUUGAAAACAAUUUACCGAAUUACUUAUUAAAUUACUUAUUUAUAUUAUAUUAUAUUUAUUUUAUAUCAUUUAUUCUAGUUUUGACUUUAUGAGUUUAUGUAAACUAUUAAAUAAUCUUUUGUGGAGUAUUAUAUAUUUUCAUGUUAUUAUAUUAUUUUAAGUAUGAAAUAAAAUAUUAAAGAUUAAAAGGACCAUUUCAUAAAUAGAAAAAGUUCAACUCCAAAAUGGAGUAAUGGGUAAGAUUACUCCAUAAAUGAAGUAACCCUAACCAUUACUCCAUUUUGGAGUUGAAUAUGGAGUGGGGUUGGAGAAGAUUUUACUCCAUAAUUGAAUUUGGAAUAAAAAAUGGAGUAGGGUUGGAGAUGCCCUUAGUAUAAAAAACAAGAGACAAUUAAACUACAAAUGAAAACCACCACUUACAAAUAUAGCUUCUGAAGAAUCCAUUACUAUCGUCAAAAUACAUGCAUAUUUCAUUUCUCCCCUCCAACUUCUCUCUUAUCUUCAAGAUUUUCAAUUAGAACUUUUGAUGAACCUCUUUCUGUCGAAUCGAGUUAUACGUAAGUUCUUUGCUCUUGUUAACAUCCAUGGUUAUGAAUAGAAACUGGUGCAGCUUGCAUGAGAGAAUAAUGCAAUCUAUAUUAUAAUUUUUUUUGUAACUUAGAAAAAAAAAUUCCAUACUUUUUUUUUUUUUUUAUAUAAAUAGACCUAUUAGUCAAUUUAUGUUAAUUUCCCAAAAUUAGUAUCUAUAUCAAAUUAAUUUUUAUUUUUAACAAAUUUCCUUUUGUUAUCUUACCUUAUUUUUAUAUGGAUUUCUAUUUUUUUAUUAAAUAAACAUUUUUGGAAAUCUUAUCAUUUUAAAAAUAAUAAAUUAAAAUAAUGACUUACGAUAUUUUGAUUGAUGAUUUUAAAUCAUACAUGGAUACUUUCAGUGACUUAUAAACUAAAAUUUAAUCUGUCAUAUAAACUUUUUUUGUCAGCUCACCUAUAAUUUGAAAAUCACGUGUUUUAAAAUUUAUAUAGUUAUAAUUUUUAAAAUCUUACAUUUUUAAAAAAAAAAAUUUGUUAGUUAUUUUAUGUUAAUUUUCAAAAAACAAACUUUUAUUCAUUAUGUUAACUUAUAUAUAAUGUUAUUAUUUUGUAAAUUUUUCUUAUUUAAAAUUGAUUUCUAUUUUAUUUUUAAAUAAUUUUUUUAAAAAAAUAUUGACAUUUUUAGAAAUAGCAAAACUGAUUUGUCAUAUUUUGAUUAGUUGUUUUAAAUUAUAUUUGGAAAUUUUCAAGGGGUUUUUGCCAAAACUAACCCACAACUUGAUUUUAAUUCCAAACCUAUACCCAAACUUGAAUCAAAUGCAAAAUUAACCUAAAAGCCUAGUGAAAUUACAGCUCAGCCCCUUGUGAUCAAACAAAAAAAACAGAAGCCAUUUUUACGAAUAUAGCCCCAGUAAAUCGUCUGAGAUGUUGGAAGUCGUCUGGACGACUGAAGUGUAAGUCGUCUGGUACCAGUUUAUUUUAAAAAUAAUUUAUAACUCUUGUAAAAAAUAUUUUGAUGCGUAAAAAAUAAAAAUCAAGUAAUUAUAAACAGUUUUAACUGAUAUAAAUUAAGAUAUGAUAAAAUUGAUUUGUUUUGAAGAUAUAUGAGUGGAAGUAGUGAAUCAUGAAAUACUUUGGUUUAGGAGUUUGGCAAACAUAUGUUGUAGUAUUGUAUGUAUUGUUAGGGUUAGAUUUUGGAAAACUAAAAUGUUUUUUUCAAAAAUUAGUUUUCACCUAUAUGUGUUUAUUUCUGUGUAUAGUAAACACUUUUCAAGUUUGAUUUGNNNNNNNNNNNNNNNNNNNNNNNNNNNNNNNNNNNNNNNNNNNNNNNNNNNNNNNNNNNNNNNNNNNNNNNNNNNNNNNNNNNNNNNNNNNNNNNNNNNNNNNNNNNNNNNNNNNNNNNNNNNNNNNNNNNNNNNNNNNNNNNNNNNNNNNNNNNNNNNNNNNNNNNNNNNNNNNNNNNNNNNNNNNNNNNNNNNNNNNNNNNNNNNNNNNNNNNNNNNNNNNNNNNNNNNNNNNNNNNNNNNNNNNNNNNNNNNNNNNNNNNNNNNNNNNNNNNNNNNNNNNNNNNNNNNNNNNNNNNNNNNNNNNNNNNNNNNNNNNNNNNNNNNNNNNNNNNNNNNNNNNNNNNNNNNNNNNNNNNNNNNNNNNNNNNNNNNNNNNNNNNNNNNNNNNNNNNNNNNNNNNNNNNNNNNNNNNNNNNNNNNNNNNNNNNNNNNNNNNNNNNNNNNNNNNNNNNNNNNNNNNNNNNNNNNNNNNNNNNNNNNNNNNNNNNNNNNNNNNNNNNNNNNNNNNNNNNNNNNNNNNNNNNNNNNNNNNNNNNNNNNNNNNNNNNNNNNNNNNNNNNNNNNNNNNNNNNNNNNNNNNNNNNNNNNNNNNNNNNNNNNNNNNNNNNNNNNNNNNNNNNNNNNNNNNNNNNNNNNNNNNNNNNNNNNNNNNNNNNNNNNNNNNNNNNNNNNNNNNNNNNNNNNNNNNNNNNNNNNNNNNNNNNNNNNNNNNNNNNNNNNNNNNNNNNNNNNNNNNNNNNNNNNNNNNNNNNNNNNNNNNNNNNNNNNNNNNNNNNNNNNNNNNNNNNNNNNNNNNNNNNNNNNNNNNNNNNNNNNNNNNNNNNNNNNNNNNNNNNNNNNNNNNNNNNNNNNNNNNNNNNNNNNNNNNNNNNNNNNNNNNNNNNNNNNNNNNNNNNNNNNNNNNNNNNNNNNNNNNNNNNNNNNNNNNNNNNNNNNNNNNNNNNNNNNNNNNNNNNNNNNNNNNNNNNNNNNNNNNNNNNNNNNNNNNNNNNNNNNNNNNNNNNNNNNNNNNNNNNNNNNNNNNNNNNNNNNNNNNNNNNNNNNNNNNNNNNNNNNNNNNNNNNNNNNNNNNNNNNNNNNNNNNNNNNNNNNNNNNNNNNNNNNNNNNNNNNNNNNNNNNNNNNNNNNNNNNNNNNNNNNNNNNNNNNNNNNNNNNNNNNNNNNNNNNNNNNNNNNNNNNNNNNNNNNNNNNNNNNNNNNNNNNNNNNNNNNNNNNNNNNNNNNNNNNNNNNNNNNNNNNNNNNNNNNNNNNNNNNNNNNNNNNNNNNNNNNNNNNNNNNNNNNNNNNNNNNNNNNNNNNNNNNNNNNNNNNNNNNNNNNNNNNNNNNNNNNNNNNNNNNNNNNNNNNNNNNNNNNNUUAAAAAUACAAGUUAUUCAAAAACUAACGUAGAAGACUUAAAAACUAGUGGAGAAGACGCGGACGACUUCAGUCUAAGUUGUCUGGACGACUAAACUAUAUGUCGUCUGGUCAACGCAGAGGUUAUUUUUGCAAUUGACUUUGAAAUCUGUUAUUUCGGACGACUGAAAGUUAAGUCGUCUACUAUUGUUUGGUUAAAAAAAAAACUCCAAAAAAGCUAGACGACUUACAUUUCAGUCGUCAGAGGUUAGUUUUGCAUUUGACUGGAUUAUUUCAGAAGUUUGACUUUUUGGACGACUUACAUUUCAGUCGUCUAGUGAAAAUUAAAAUAAUAAUAUUUUUUUAAAAGUAGACGACUUAAAGUUAAGUCGUCAUAGGUUAGUUUUGCAAUUGAAAAAAAAAACUUCAAGAUUUAAUUAUAUACAGACGACUUAUAAUUCAGUCGUCCACGAGACGACUGAAAUGUAAGUCGUCCAGGAUUUACGAGGUUUGACCAGAAUCUCGGAAAAAAAUCCUGGACGACUUACAAUUAAGUCGUCUGGUGGACGACUGAAUUAUAAGUCGUCUGUGUAUAAUUAAAUCUUGAAGUUUUUUUUUUCAAUUGCAAAACUAACCUAUGACUACUUAAUUGUAAGUCGUUUACUUUAAAAAAAAUAUUAUUAUUUUAAUUUUCGCCAGACGACUGAAAUGUAAGUCGUCUGGGGAAGUCAAACUUCUGAAAUUAUCCAGUCAAAUGCAAAACUAACCUAUGACGACUGAAAUGUAAGUCGUCUAGGUUCUUUGGAAUUUUUUUUGAAACCAAACAAUAGUAGACGACUUAACUUUCAGUCGUCUCAGGUUACAGAUUUCAAAGUCAAUUGCAAAAAUAACCUCUGCGUUGACCAGACGACUUCCAGGUAAGUCGUCUACAGCCAGACGACUGAAAGGUAAGUCGUCUACAGCCAGACGACUUCCCAAGUAAGUCGUCUGACGAACAGAUCUGGAAAAAAACUCGAUGUCAUACCUUAAAUUGGUGAGAUAAGUUCCUUAGCAUACAUAAGGCUUCUCCAAGCACACAGAAUCACAAACGAAAGUCACCCACCCAUAAUCGUUAGCUUCUAUGACUCUAUGAACCAUAAAAAUUUUAGAAUCAAAAUCUUGGGUUUUUUUAGCUUAUUGUGGAGAGAAAGUGAGAGAUAUGUUGUGUUUAGUUCACAAGAAUGGAAAAAGAAGAAGGGUAAAUCGAUUUUGGGAGCAUUAAGAGCUUCAAAUUGGUUGUUCAUGGUGGUUGUGGUAUUGAUGACAAUGGCAAUCUUGUAAUUACUUGAAGAUGAUGAGGGUGAGAGAGUAAAAAUGUCAUUUUCGAAAGAAAAAAAUAAAAAAAAAAAUUGAUGGCAUUUUCGUAAAUUAUAUGAACUUGUGGGGUGAAUAGGGCAAAACCAAUUUUCAAAAAAAAAAGGAGGUUAGUUUUGUGUUUGACUUUAAGUUGUAGGUCAAUUUUGCAAAAAUCCCAAUUUUCAAUGACUUAAAGCAUCUCUCAAAAUACACUCUAUUUUGAAGUUUAAAUGUGUUAUUCUCCAAAAUCAAAACUCCAAACUUAACUUCAAUAAUAUUUAUAUUUUAUACCAUGGUCAUUAUAUUUGUUAUAAUUAAUUUAAAUCCAUAAAAUUUUAUAUAUAACUUUCACAUAUAUUAAAUGAUAUAAAUACAUAUAUUUUAUAAAUAACUAGCACAUAUAUUAAAAGACUGUGUAUUUUGGAGAUGUUUUUGUAUCCUUAACUUUUAUAUAGUAUAAAUUAGUUAGUAUGUAGUUUUCUUUGAGCUUUGUUGUUUGAUACCCUGCAUCUCCAUUUUUCUUGAUUAUUGGCUAAUUUUUCAACUAUGCGUCAGUGGUCAGGUGACACAAAACGUUAUGUGGAUCUCCAAGAGAUCCGAGUUCGAAUAUGCUGUCAACAGUGCUUUUUACAUUCUUUCUCCGGGGAAAAAUUCACCUUUUUUUGGUACGUUUUUUAGUCUCUCUCAGAAUUUGUUGAGAAUACAAUUUAAAAUUUAGCGAGACAAAACCUGAACCCAAGAAGGACAAGGCCAAAGAUCUCUACAACAAACUGAGCCUGAUGAAGCUAAGCUCGUAGGCGUUCCGCUUAUUUUUGUUUUUUGUUUUGAACUUCGUUCCACUUAUUUUGACGACGACUUGAUCGGUUUGAAUCCAUAUCUGGUAGUCCGGAUUUCGAGUUUGAGUCAUAGACUCACUGGAUCAAUGUAACAGAAACAGUGAGAGUAGGCAGAGGUUAGGCUGUCACGCAGGUAACAAAAAGCCAAGAACCCUUGUCCGGAGAAAAAGGCUUUGAACGUUGAAUUCCAAAGCAUGUAUAAUUUUGUUGAAUUGUUUAACGGUACUUAUUUUUUUAUGAUUAUUGAGAGUUUCAUGCAAUUUUUAUCCAUGGUUCUAUCAUUCUAUGCCAUAGACCUAAAAAAAAUACUUUAAGAAGAAUGAAGAAGAUACUGGGAAGCUGAAAGACAUUUUUUCAAAUCACUUGAAGCUUUGAUUUAAAGUAGACAUGUGGAUACUGGAUAGAUUAACUAAAUUUUUACCAAAAGCGCGGGGUUAUCAAUUUUUAAAUAUAAAUUAAGAUAUUUUUUUUAUUUGUUUAUAUUGGUAAUCAAACAUUUUCAUUUUAAGUUAAAGUUUAUGAAUUUUAAUAAUGAAACACUCUCAAUUUAUUAAAUCAUAUAUUUUGUUACAAUAUUUAGUUGGUAAAUUGCCACAAAUACCACAUUCAUGGUACCACUUUUCAUGUUUACACUAACCACUUUUACCCUCGCUUUUAAUGAAGGGUAAAAUAUAAUUAUACCCUUAGGAUUAACUAAUUUAGACUUAGGGUUUAGAGUUGAGGGGUGGGGUAGGGUUUUUGGAAGAGAAAAAGACCAAAAUAGCGCUAAUUUAAAUAAUAAUUUAUUAUAUAUAUAAAUAACAAGGACAUAAGAGUCUUUUGUCACUUAAUGAAGAAGGUACUUUUGAAAAUGUCUCAUUAGUGGUGGUAAAAAUGAAAAGUGGUACCAUGAAAGUGGUAAACAUGUAAUUUCCCCUAUUUAGUUUUUAAAUUUAAUAAAAUGAAUGUGUAUAUCUCAUUUUAGAAAAUCUUAAUAAGUAAUUUUACUGAAUAGAAACAGGAGACUAUUAUUUUUCAUAAAUGUGUGAUUUUUAUUAAUUAGUUGCUAUAACUAUGGAAUAUUGUUAUUUAAUGUAAUUUUAAAAAUGCCGAUUGAUAAUUUCAUGUUUCCCUUUAAAGUUGCAAAAAAUCUCAUCGCAUAUUUUGUGGAGAAUUUGAACAUAUGAUAUUUUUUUUUUUUUUUGCUAACCGAGUAUCCUGGCCCCACCGAGGUGGUCCAGACUAGAGAGCGAAGUGAGCAUGGACGCUGCCAGGGCGUCACCAUGUGGCUCACCGUGUAACGGUCUUCGGUCUCGGAUGCUGCAGCGCAUAUGUAAAUUCCGCAGUGGCCAAGGCUCGAACAUAUGAUAUUUAAUUAGUAAUCUAUAACUGAAACAUAUCUUGUAUAUUAUAAUAAUCGUAUAGUUAUAAUUAACUAAAGUUUAUAGUCUAUGCAUAUUUGACCUACGAUCCACAAUAUCACAUAUAUAGUAGGUUUGUAAGUAUAAGUUAUAAUAUUAGUAAAAGGUAUAAGUUAUCCUAUCAUUGGGUUUGAUUAUUAAGUCCAAAUCAUCAAAGGAAAUUAUCUUUAAUGAAAUAUGUUUUAAAUAGAUCCAAAAAGUGUAAUAUCCAAAAAUUCCAAAUCAUGAAAGAUCCGUAUUUCUAAUGAAAUGUGAAUAGGUUUAAAACUUAAAUGAUAUUUUUUUAAUAGAUAAAAACAAGAUUUUAAAUUAAUAGAGUAGAUGCCACUACGCACAAUAUUCUUAAAUUGCAAAAUAUAUAUUGUUUUUGCCAUAUAUAUGAAAUCUCAUAAAAAGGAAGUGUUUGGGACAUUUUACAAAAUUUUAAACAAACUAAGAUUUACCUUGGCAAAUAGAGAUUUUGAAACUGUGUCACUCAACUCUCUCUCAAUCCUACUAAACUAGGAUGAGACCCACGCACGUUAAUACAUGCAUAAAAAUCAUAUAUUCAAAGUAGGAUUGUUCAAUUGAGAGGAUAUUUUGGUUUAUAAAAAAAUUGGAUACCAUAUUAAAAUCAUAUUUGUUUUGGUUUGGUUCAGUUUAUAUAAUGUCGGUUUUUGGUUUAUUCAUUUUAGUCUGGUCUCGGUUUCGGUUUUUUGAUAUUUUGGUUUAUAAAAAUUAGACACCAUAUUAAAAUCACAUUUAUUUUGGUUUGGUUUAUAUACUGUUAGUUUAUGGUUUAUGGUUUAUUCAACUUUAUACCCAAAAAAAACUUAAACUGUAUUUAUUUUUUAUUACAUUUUGUUAAGUUAUUUUAUAUGAUUAAAAAUCAAAUUUAUUAAAUACUACUCUAAUUUUUAAAUAGAAUGUUUUUUAUAUUAUAUAUAACUAUUAAAAAUAAUUGUUAAAUAAAUUAUAGUUAUUAUAGAUUCAUAAGAUGAAAAAAAUGAUUAAUAAUAUAUUAAAUUUAAGACACAUAUAUGUCAAUUAUUAAAAUUAACGUCUAAAAUACAUGUAUAUAAUUAUAUUAUGUAAUUUACAUAAAACUAUACUACUAUAUUUUAAUUAAUCAGUUUAUUUGGUUUAUAUGGUUUGAUCAGUUUAUAUACUGAAUCAUAUCUACAUACCACAGUUUCUAGAAAUAACAUUUAUUCGGUUUAUACAGUGUUACCAAAUUAAACUAAUUUUUUAUUUCGAUUUGGUUCAGUUUUAGUUGGUCUGGUUUUUACCAAGCUGAACACCCUUAAUUCAAAUUACUAAAUCAUAGACAGUUUGCAAACAUGUACUACAAUGAAAAUCUUCGCUAUCAAAAUCAGAUAGUUGGUCUUAUUUUUGCAUCUUAAAUAUAAUACUAAAUAUCAUAGAUAGUUGGUCCGGUUUUUGAAUCUUAAAUAUAAAAUUUUCGCAUUUACCUCGUACUAAAAUGUGUAUCAAGGCAAUUAUAGUAGAUAUUUAUGUAUACAAUAUUAAGUUAAUCAUAUUUAAUUAUUUCUUUUAAUAAGGAAACUAUCAAUUAUACGUAACUGUUUCCAUGCCCAACGAAUAUGGUCUCGAGUUUGGUUUAUUAAAACUUCUUAUCAUAUAUUUUUAUGUUUGGGUGCAAAUUCCAAAAUUGAAUUACAUGGAACAUUUUACGCGGGAUGAACAUUUUAUAUAAAAAUAAUUUUUACGUCUUAUAUAUAUUUUUUAUCUUUGGGUGCAGAUCUCAAAAUUUUCGAUGUGGUAUUUUUGAUGCAAAUUUCAAAAUUAACAUAUUUAUUUAUUUUAAAUGGUACAUAGUUUAAUUUAAAUGAUAUUAUAUAUAUAUAUAUAUAUAUAUUAAAAAAUAAUAUUGUCUGGAUAUUCUAAAGAUUUCUUUUUAAAAACAUCUUAUGUUUGUUAAAACCGUUACUUUGAGUAUAAAAUAAUUAUGAUGAUAAAUAAUUAAGAAAUAUUAAGAUUGGACAAUUUAGUAAAUUUAUAUAUACCAAAGUGUAUUUUUCUAAAAACUUAAAAAAUGGUGUAGUUUUCAAAUUAAUAUCUUAUCUAAGUGUAUGUCUCCAAAUUUUCCCAAAUCUUAUUGGUUGGUGAACCUAACCUUUAGGCCAGGAAUAAGUCUAAAUCAAAACAUUUGAUUACAUAUUAAAACUAAACAUUGAAUUUGAGGGUAUAUCUUUCAUAACCUUUGAAGCAAAUGAAAGUAGUGUUAUUAUUCAUUUAUUUUUGUUGAAUAUCCAAUUAUAAGCACCCAGCAGCAUCGAAGAAACUAAAUAAAGAAGAAUCAUGUAUUGAAAUUCAAUAGUUAUGUAACCCAUGACAUGUAAAAUAUAUAGUCUUAGCAUGUUUAAUUAGUUUUGACCUUUCGUUGACUUUUUAUUACAACCGGGAAACCAACAACCACCGCUAUUUCCGGGACCCCACACUCCUGCGUUCCCUCCCCAUCCCCAUCCUCCUCCGCCUCCCGCACCAUAUCCACCGCCCCAUCCACGUCCUGAGCCAUCUCCAACGCCGCCGUCACCUCCGUCACUUCCACCACCACCUCCUCCAGCCACCUCCAACCCCUCCGUCACCUCCGUCCCCUCCGUCACUUCCGUCACUUCCGUCACUUCCACCACCACCUCCUCCACCUCCACCACCCCCGCCACCACCACCACCGCCACCACCUCCAUUUCCACCACCACCACCACCGCCACCACCUCCACUUCCACCUACUGAGGGUCCAUUGCUAGGGCCACCUCCUACGCCAAUGCCAAUGCCAAUACCAGUACCAACGCCAACAUUGUCGUCAUUUCUAUCAUCUCUUUUCUCCCUUUUGUGGUCAUUGCAUUCUUCAUUUCCACCACUGCCAUCUCUUUCACAUUUUCCAUUUCCUUUGCCGCCGCCUCGUCCUCCACCUUUGCCUCCACGACCUCCUCUUCCCCCAUUUCCUGGACUCCCAUCUCUUCCGUUGCAACCACCGCAGUCUCUUUCUUUCCCUCUACAGCUUUCGCAGCCUCCUCCUUCUCCAUCACUUUCUUGGACUCUUCUUUCUUUGAUAUGUGCACUCACCAUACCAUUUUUAAACGCUUUUCCGGAUCCCAAAUCGGAAGAUUGAUCAGUACCAUUAAAGAAUCUUCUCGGGGGUCCAUAACGUAGCCCUUGAACGGAACUUAAGCUCAAAAGAAACAACACAGCACUAGAAACUAACAAGCACACCACAAUGCUUGACAUUCUCACCAAUAUCUCCAUCGCGAUUUCUCUCAAUCAAAAUCCUUCUCCAUUCCCUUCGUUUUUAUACUCUUCUAAACCUAAGCAAAUUAGUCUAUGUAAUUAAAAUGAGCAGCCACAUGCCAUGAACAUGCAUUACCCAAAUGAAACCUACCAUCUUUUAUAUAUAUUGAAGGAGCUAAACCACAAAGAGGAGAUGACGUUGUAGAAAACUACAUAAAUAUUGGUUCACGCCCCAAGUCCUCGUUAUAGAGUGGUCCAUUUCAAUAUUAUUGUGACCCCAAGCACCAGUGUAUUUUCUAGGCCUGGACGAUUCAUAUUCGAGUCGUUUGCAAUUUGGGUCCUUCUAUUGAGUCUUAAGAGGGGUGUAUUGAAUCUGAAAUUUGAAGUAAUUUGAUUUUUAAUGAGUUUGUAGAUGAUUGCAGAAGAAUUAGAGAAUUUGGUGUGAUUUUUGUUAAAACACUUUAGAAUUUCAUCUAAAACAGUGAGAUUUAGAUUUUAAUUUUUAUAACUAAGAAACUCCCCUCAAACACUCUAGAAACAAUUAAAGUACUCUAAAAUCUCCAAUUUACAUUUUGUUCAAUAACAGUGGAUUUCAAAGUGUUUUAUGAAAUGCCAAGUUCAAUAACAUUGGAUUUUAAGUGUUUUUUUUUUAAAAUUCAUGUUUGAAUAACAGUGAAUUUGUCAUUUUAAUACAAAUCACUUGCCAAAAAAUAUGUUUUAUUUUCAUUAAAUUUUACCCAAAAAAAAAGAAAGAAAAGAGAUUAAUUUAGGCGCAAACAAAUAGAAAAAUGCAUGAAAAAAAAACUUGAUAAAAAAGUAAAUGAAUUCUGUUUUUUGUAACAUCAAGUAAAUGACUAUAUUCCCAUCAGCUGAUUAGCUUGCUUAAUAAAUCUUUUCGGCCUCUUAGUUAAGAGUCAAUCAGUUGUUUACAAUCUCAGGUUCGCUCGAGUUACGUCUGUACAUCUUUGUUCGAGAUCUAUUCUGUUGUCAUUUGUUGUUGUCAAUUUCUCGUAAUAUGCUUUCUUUUGUGAAAUGUCAUUUUCUGUCACAAAUUUCGGUAAACGUGUAGAUAUUAUCUUCAUAAUCAAAGUUGGUAUCACGAGAGAGAAAUGUCACCAACUUUUUGGAGGAAAUGAGUCAUGCUCUUUGUUUAGGAUCAUUUUGUUAACAAUUAUUACCUUUUUAUUACAAAAAAAAAUUAGCUCUUUUAAAUCGUUAUGUUAAACUCUACUUGUAUUUAGCUCUAAAAAACUCUUCUUGUAUUCGUAGAGAUUUAUAUAAAGAAAAAUCUGAAGAUUACUGUCUCUUAAUUUUGGAGCAAAUUCAAAGGCUUAAAUCCUAUGUUUGUUUAAUGUGAUAUAGUACCAACUAAUUCUUUUACAAUCAGGGGCGGAUCCAGGAUUACAUGUAGAUGGGGCACAUAAAAAUUAUACAUUAUAUUGUUUCAUUUGGCGGCACUCCUUAUGUUUUAUACUAAUAACUAUAAAAAAUUAAAAGACCCCAUAUCAUUGGCUUUGCGUCCACCACUGUUUACAACAUAGUAGAAGAGAAGAGAAUGUAGUUAAUCAAUAUUAUACAAAGGAGAUAACUAGAUCUCUUGGUGGUUGAAAGCCAACAACAAAUCAUCAUACGUACAUAAAAGGGGCCUAAAUCAUGCCAAGGAAGUUGGUCACUCUGCCAUGAUAUAAUAUAUAAUACUCUACUAAAAUUUAAUUAUUUCAUUCAUAGAGCUUGUGAAUCCAUAUGUAUGCACUUUACACUAGUCUUCUCUGUUUCGUUUUGCUUAGUUAUGCCAUCAAUUUUUGAACGACGAAUUGGAUUAUAGAAGCAAGAUAUGAUGAGAUAGCGCUGUACUUUCUUAAUUAACAUGUAUUUUCAAUUUGGUACAUCCUUUCAAAACGUUAUUAAGUACGUAAAUGCACAAGUAGAUAACCUUUUCACUUGUAAGACCACCUUAGAUAUGGGAAAUGGAAAUAGUUAUAUUGGCAUGUCACAUGAAUAAUAAAAUAACAGUAUAUCAUAAUUAAAAUUUAAACGCUAAAACUUAAUAGUAAUAUGCCGAAUAAUAACAAAAUGUUUCACAUAUGACCACAAAACAAUGUCUAUACAUAAUUUAGUGCCGUGUUAUUUUUGUAUAUAUGAUCUACCACAAAAAAAAGUUGUUCAUUUUGCAAAAGUCAACUCAUUCUUUUAUAUGAAAAGUCCACUCUUUGAAAGUUUUUAUAUUGUUAAGAUGAUAAAAAUAUACUCAUAAAUGGGGCCAAGUUAUGGUUAUAAAAGCUAGCGUUGGCCUUUAUAAUCACAUCAUCUCAAAUUAAUUGACAAACUAACAAUGGAGUCUCUGUUAUCACAAACACUAAACCAAGUAAUAGAUCCCACACCGUCAGUUCUUCUUAUCACCAUCUCUCUUCUAGUUGUAGUCUACCUCAUCUCACAAUGGUUUAAACCGCUCUACCCUCCCGGUCCCAAAGGCCUACCCGUAAUUGGAAAUAUGCUAAUGAUGGACCAACUCACACACCAUGGUCUAGCCAAGCUAGCCCAUAAAUACGGUGGUUUGUUCCAUUUACGAAUGGGAUUUCAUCACGUGUUUGCCAUCACAUCACCUGACGUCGCCCGACAAGUCCUCCAAGUCCAAGACAUCAGCUUCUCGAACCGGCCCGUGACUGUAGCCAUAAACUACUUAACCUACGAUCUAGCCGACAUGGCCUUCGCUCCUUACGGACCCUUUUGGAGAGAAAUGAGGAAAGUGUGCGUCAUGAAGGUGUUCAGCCGGAAACGGACCGAGUCAUGGGCCUCGGUCCGUGAAGAAGUAAACAAUAUGGUCCGGGAUCGGCCUUGGUUCGGUUUUUAUGGAUUCUGACUUUUUUUCCAACCUUAUUCUUUUACUGUGACAAAAGUUUAGACGAAAAUGAUGAUGGUUCAUAUUAAUUUUUGGUAUGCAACAAUUUUUAAACCAAAACACAUUUUACUAUGUACGUGGUCUAUUUAGUUAAUCAUCAAAAACUGUUCUAGACCCAUUUAAGAAAAUUAUGAUGGUUCAUAUCGGUUCUAGGCAAAUUUCAAAAUUAAAAUAUUAAAGUCUCAAUACUCUUGCAAUGCAAAUUUUAAAUUAACAUAUUUAUGUAUUUUUAAAUGGUGCAUAGUUAUUUAAAGUGUAUUAAUAUAUAUUCAUUAUUUAAUAUGAAUAUCUAUUAAAUAAAAAUUCAUAUUAAUACGAUUUUAUGAUCCUUUGUAUCUUGUUAUAACACAAGAAAAAUAAAUCACUGAUCACAAAAAUUUUAAGGUGAUUUUUAACAUUUUUUGUAAUUUAAAAUCGUUUAAAACUUCAAAAUAUAAAAUAUAAAAAAAAAAUCUAAAUUUUAUAUUAUAUGAUUAAUGUGAUCAUUUAAUUUCUUUUAAUAAUAUAAAAUUGAACAAAAAUGAGUAAAAAUCUAAAAAAUGUUAUCAAAUUUUUAUUAUUCACAGUCAUUAAUUGUCAUAUAUAUGUUACAUAUUAGGUAAUUUUAUAGCUUUUAUUUAAGGAAAAAAAUACACGAUUCUUAUAUUUUGGGUUAAUAUAAUAUUUUUUUAGUAAUUGGAUUUUGGACCAACAUUUUUUUCAAUUGAUUCUUAAGAUGUCACGUAAGCUAAAUUAUCAUUCUAAUUAAGUGACACCUAAGCAAGAUCUCUUUUUAAUUAGUACAAACCGAAGAUUACAAUUUUUUUAAUGAUUUUCAAUUAAUAUAUAAGAGAUAUUAUGACUAGAUCUUAGUUAAUUAUAAGAAGUAUGAUUAACCUCUAAUUAAAUUGUUUUUUUUUUGACUAAACCUCUAAUUAAAUUGUUCCAACCAGUUUCCAACUUCUCUUUAACUUAACACAACACCAACUUAAUUUACGCUACGAUCGUCUCAACUCAUCCUAAUACGAAAAUAAAUAAACAUCUCUUCGGUCAUAUAAAUCAAAACAUUUGAUUACAUAUUAAAACUAAAGAUUGAAUUUGAGGGUAUAUCUUUCAUAACCUUUGAAGCAAAUGAAAAUAGUGUUAUUAUUCAUUUAUUUUGUUGAAUAUCCAUUUAUAAGCACCCAGCAGCAUCGAAGAAACUAAAUAAAGAAGAAUCAUGUAUUGAAAUUCAAUAGUUAUGUAACCCAUGACAUGUAAAAUAUAUAGUCUUAGCAUGUUUAAUUAGUUUUGACCUUUCGUUGACUUUGUCGUCAUUUCCAUUAUCUCUUUUCUUCCUUUUGUGGUCAUUGCAUUCUUCAUUUCCACCACUGCCAUCUCUUUCACCUUUUCCAUUUCCUUUGCCGCCGCCUCGUCCUCCACCUUUGCCUCCACGACCUCCUCUUCCCCCAUUUCCUGGACUCCCAUCUCUUCCGUUGCAACCACCGCAGUCUCUUUCUUUCCCUCUACAGCUUUCGCAGCCUCCUCCUUCUCCAUCACUUUCUUGGACUCUUCUUUCUUUGAUAUGUGCACUCACCAUACCAUUUUUAAACGCUUUUCCGGAUCCCAAAUCGGAAGAUUGAUCAGUACCAUUAAAGAAUCUUCUCGGGGGUCCAUAACGUAGCCCUUGAACGGAACUUAAGCUCAAAAGAAACAACACAGCACUAGAAACUAACAAGCACACCACAAUGCUUGACAUUCUCACCAAUAUCUCCAUCGCGAUUUCUCUCAAUCAAAAUCCUUCUCCAUUCCCUUCGUUUUUAUACUCUUCUAAACCUAAGCAAAUUAGUCUAUGUAAUUAAAAUGAGCAGCCACAUGCCAUGAACAUGCAUUACCCAAAUGAAACCUACCAUCUUUUAUAUAUAUUGAAGGAGCUAAACCACAAAGAGGAGAUGACGUUGUAGAAAACUACAUAAAUAUUGGUUCACGCCCCAAGUCCUCGUUAUAGAGUGGUCCAUUUCAAUAUUAUUGUGACCCCAAGCACCAGUGUAUUUUCUAGGCCUGGACGAUUCAUAUUCGAGUCGUUUGCAAUUUGGGUCCUUCUAUUGAGUCUUAAGAGGGGUGUAUUGAAUCUGAAAUUUGAAGUAAUUUGAUUUUUAAUGAGUUUGUAGAUGAUUGCAGAAGAAUUAGAGAAUUUGGUGUGAUUUUUGUUAAAACACUUUAGAAUUUCAUCUAAAACAGUGAGAUUUAGAUUUUAAUUUUUAUAACUAAGAAACUCCCCUCAAACACUCUAGAAACAAUUAAAGUACUCUAAAAUCUCCAAUUUACAUUUUGUUCAAUAACAGUGGAUUUCAAAGUGUUUUAUGAAAUGCCAAGUUCAAUAACAUUGGAUUUUAAGUGUUUUUUUUUUAAAAUUCAUGUUUGAAUAACAGUGAAUUUGUCAUUUUAAUACAAAUCACUUGCCAAAAAAUAUGUUUUAUUUUCAUUAAAUUUUACCCAAAAAAAAAGAAAGAAAAGAGAUUAAUUUAGGCGCAAACAAAUAGAAAAAUGCAUGAAAAAAAAACUUGAUAAAAAAGUAAAUGAAUUCUGUUUUUUGUAACAUCAAGUAAAUGACUAUAUUCCCAUCAGCUGAUUAGCUUGCUUAAUAAAUCUUUUCGGCCUCUUAGUUAAGAGUCAAUCAGUUGUUUACAAUCUCAGGUUCGCUCGAGUUACGUCUGUACAUCUUUGUUCGAGAUCUAUUCUGUUGUCAUUUGUUGUUGUCAAUUUCUCGUAAUAUGCUUUCUUUUGUGAAAUGUCAUUUUCUGUCACAAAUUUCGGUAAACGUGUAGAUAUUAUCUUCAUAAUCAAAGUUGGUAUCACGAGAGAGAAAUGUCACCAACUUUUUGGAGGAAAUGAGUCAUGCUCUUUGUUUAGGAUCAUUUUGUUAACAAUUAUUACCUUUUUAUUACAAAAAAAAAUUAGCUCUUUUAAAUCGUUAUGUUAAACUCUACUUGUAUUUAGCUCUAAAAAACUCUUCUUGUAUUCGUAGAGAUUUAUAUAAAGAAAAAUCUGAAGAUUACUGUCUCUUAAUUUUGGAGCAAAUUCAAAGGCUUAAAUCCUAUGUUUGUUUAAUGUGAUAUAGUACCAACUAAUUCUUUUACAAUCAGGGGCGGAUCCAGGAUUACAUGUAGAUGGGGCACAUAAAAAUUAUACAUUAUAUUGUUUCAUUUGGCGGCACUCCUUAUGUUUUAUACUAAUAACUAUAAAAAAUUAAAAGACCCCAUAUCAUUGGCUUUGCGUCCACCACUGUUUACAACAUAGUAGAAGAGAAGAGAAUGUAGUUAAUCAAUAUUAUACAAAGGAGAUAACUAGAUCUCUUGGUGGUUGAAAGCCAACAACAAAUCAUCAUACGUACAUAAAAGGGGCCUAAAUCAUGCCAAGGAAGUUGGUCACUCUGCCAUGAUAUAAUAUAUAAUACUCUACUAAAAUUUAAUUAUUUCAUUCAUAGAGCUUGUGAAUCCAUAUGUAUGCACUUUACACUAGUCUUCUCUGUUUCGUUUUGCUUAGUUAUGCCAUCAAUUUUUGAACGACGAAUUGGAUUAUAGAAGCAAGAUAUGAUGAGAUAGCGCUGUACUUUCUUAAUUAACAUGUAUUUUCAAUUUGGUACAUCCUUUCAAAACGUUAUUAAGUACGUAAAUGCACAAGUAGAUAACCUUUUCACUUGUAAGACCACCUUAGAUAUGGGAAAUGGAAAUAGUUAUAUUGGCAUGUCACAUGAAUAAUAAAAUAACAGUAUAUCAUAAUUAAAAUUUAAACGCUAAAACUUAAUAGUAAUAUGCCGAAUAAUAACAAAAUGUUUCACAUAUGACCACAAAACAAUGUCUAUACAUAAUUUAGUGCCGUGUUAUUUUUGUAUAUAUGAUCUACCACAAAAAAAAGUUGUUCAUUUUGCAAAAGUCAACUCAUUCUUUUAUAUGAAAAGUCCACUCUUUGAAAGUUUUUAUAUUGUUAAGAUGAUAAAAAUAUACUCAUAAAUGGGGCCAAGUUAUGGUUAUAAAAGCUAGCGUUGGCCUUUAUAAUCACAUCAUCUCAAAUUAAUUGACAAACUAACAAUGGAGUCUCUGUUAUCACAAACACUAAACCAAGUAAUAGAUCCCACACCGUCAGUUCUUCUUAUCACCAUCUCUCUUCUAGUUGUAGUCUACCUCAUCUCACAAUGGUUUAAACCGCUCUACCCUCCCGGUCCCAAAGGCCUACCCGUAAUUGGAAAUAUGCUAAUGAUGGACCAACUCACACACCAUGGUCUAGCCAAGCUAGCCCAUAAAUACGGUGGUUUGUUCCAUUUACGAAUGGGAUUUCAUCACGUGUUUGCCAUCACAUCACCUGACGUCGCCCGACAAGUCCUCCAAGUCCAAGACAUCAGCUUCUCGAACCGGCCCGUGACUGUAGCCAUAAACUACUUAACCUACGAUCUAGCCGACAUGGCCUUCGCUCCUUACGGACCCUUUUGGAGACAAAUGAGGAAAGUGUGCGUCAUGAAGGUGUUCAGCCGGAAACGGACCGAGUCAUGGGCCUCGGUCCGUGAAGAAGUAAACAAUAUGGUCCGGUCUUUGUCUAGCAACGUCGGUAAGCCCGUUAACGUUGGAGAGCUCAUUUUCACAUUGACACGGAACAUAACGUACCGAGCGGCGUUUGGUGCGGCCUGCGAGACAGAACAAGACGAGUUCAUAAGGAUCUUGCAAGAGUUCUCAAAGUUAUUUGGAGCAUUCAACAUCGCGGAUUUUAUACCGUUCCUAGGGUGGUUUGAUUUUCAAGGGAUAAACAAGAGGCUUGUUAAGGCUCGUAACGAUCUUGACGGGUUCAUCGAUGAAGUUAUUGAUGAGCAUAUGAGGAAGAGGGAGACUGUAAACGUUGAUGAAGAUACAGAUAUGGUGGAUGAUCUACUUGCGUUUUAUAGCGAGGAUUCAUCAACUAAUCGUAAUAAGAACACCGUAAAACUCACACGUGAUAAUAUCAAAGCCCUCGUCAUGGUAAGCCAAAAACGUUACCUUUUUUAUUCAUUGAUUUUCCUCUUAGUAAUCAUUUAAUCCUUGUUCACAUUUUCUAUAAAUAUAUAAGAUAGUUUAGUUGUAAUAAUGUUUAAGCCAAAUUAAAAUUAUUUCGACCAAUUUACUAAAAGAAUAUUUGAAGUUGAUAGUUUAUAGUUUAUAGUAUAUUGGGAUGACUGAUAGUUUCGAUAAUAUUUGAAGUUGAUAGUUUAUAGUAUAUUAGAAGUUGAUAGUUUAUGUAUUACUUUUCUUGUUUGUAUAUAAAAAUACCAUUUUGGUUUUGGAAGUGAUAUAUAUCUUUGUGUUACACUGUUCGGAAUCAUACAUUUGAUUUGAGAUGGAAUAUAAAGUAGUACAGAGUAUAAAUUAUUAUAUUUCAGUUGAUUAUGAAUUUGAAAUUCGUGAUUUUUAACGGUUUUUUGAUAACUAAAAUGGUAGCUCGAUAUACUAAAAUGGUAGCUCGAUAUAUUAAUUUUUUUUAAAACUAAUAUUAAUUUACUUUAUUAAUUACUGGAAGGAUGUUAUGUUUGGAGGAACGGAGACAAUGGCGUCAGGGAUCGAAUGGGCUUUGACAGAGCUUCUACGUAACCCAGCUGAACUCAAACGGCUCCAACAAGAACUCACCGAGGUCGUGGGUCUUGACCGGCGCGUGGAUGAUAACCACCUCGAGCAACUAACGUUCCUAAAAUGCACACUCAAAGAAACCAUGAGACUCCACCCACCGAUCCCACUCAUCCUCCACGAGGCUAUUGAGGACACAAAGCUCCAAGGCUUCUCUGUUCCCAAAGGCUCACGCUUGAUGAUCAACGCCUUCGCUAUCGCACGUGACCCCAAGUUGUGGGUUGACCCGGAAGCGUUUCGACCUUCUAGGUUUAUGGAACCGGGUAUGCCUGAUUUCAUGGGGACUAACUUUGAGUUUAUACCCUUCGGGGCAGGUCGGAGAUCGUGUCCUGGAAUGCAACUUGGGCUUUAUGCGAUGGAGGUGGCUGUGGCUAACAUCAUUCACUGUUUCACGUGGAAGUUGCCUGACGGGAUGAAACCUAGUGAGCUCGACAUGAGCGACGUCAUGGGUCUUACCGCUCCCAGAGCCACGCGAUUGAUCGCAGUGCCUGACACGCGCCUCAUCUGUCCGGUGUGUCCUUGACCAUGGAGAGAGUUUCACUGUUCUGUUCAGGAUUAACGGUUCAAAAGUUUUGUCUUCUCUCUCAAGAUCUUGCUAUCUUUUCAAAAAAAAAAAUUAAAUUAUGUUUUUCCACAUUGGGCAUGCUUUGUUUUUCGUCACAGGGGCUUUUUCUUCCUCAAAUGUAACUGUAAAUAAAUAAUAAAUAAAAUAAAUUUGACAAUGAAAGGAUUUUAAGUACCUUGCAUAGAAAGCAACCCCGAGUUGCUGAAUUUGAAGCUUUAGGCCUCUACACCAUUUGGCUCAAUUUCCGAUCCUUUUUGUUUCGGUCCAAUGUUGAGAAGCUUCUUCUCUGGUUGAGUCUUUGGCUAUAUAGACUACCUUUGUUCUUCACAAUUGGAGCCAUGAUGCUUGGCUUGGAUAGCUUUUGCAUCGUUAACUUUAAGAUUCUCAACAUGGUUUACAAUGGUGUAAACACGGUAAUUCCAAUUCCUAAAAGCUUCUAUAAACCGAAAGUGCGUAGCGGAUAUCAACGAGAGUUUAUUACCCUACAAAGUGUAGACAUAUUUCUGACCAUUUAUGUUUCUCAUACAUCCUCUAGAAUCUAAAUAUGCAACUCAAAGAACAUCAGCAUUAACGUACUUCUAAUAAAUCACACAUAAUGCACUCUUAUAGCUAAUGAAUCGAGUAAACCUAUCAUGAAACAUUAUAAGUUUAAACUUGAAUUUCUCAGACCUAAAUCAAAGCAAACUAUCACAUAGAUCUUGGAUCCCUUUCGGUAAGUGAUACAAACCCCCAUUAGUUAAUGAUCUUGCUUGAUAUACAACUUUGGGGAUGAAAUAAUUCUCUUUUGCCUUUAGAAUAAACGUGCCUUACAGGCCAAGAGUUUCAGAGUAUUCAAAGUUCUGAGAUGGAAGAAGACUGACUGUGAACGUAUUGUAUAUGCAGUAUUUUAGCUUAAUCAUAUACUAUAAAACAACUUCAUCACCUCUACCAUUGUUUUAAUUAAUGCUAUCCAAACCCAUAUACCAAAGACUUGAAAAGAACACCGUACAUAGUGCUUGUAGUCGGAGCUUUAUGAUUUAUCGAUGACAUGUUAAACUUUUUUUUUUUUUUGUAAAAGAAAACGAAACAUGUUAAAACUUUUUCGUCGCUUUCGUACAUAUUAUGGUCCACUCUCUGAUCAUAUAUCAUGAUUAAUCAUCGUCUCUUUCUCUUCACGACUUCAUUUUCAUUUGUUCAUUUUACUAAUGAUUUCACACCACAAUUUGGUGAAAUAUGUCAACCGUGUCCGUGUGCGUGUAUUCGAUUUGAUUAUUAUUAACAAUCUCAUGCUGAAACCUAGAUUAAAUUCUAAUGUUUGACUUCUAAUGUUUGAAAUGUUAAAAAUAUGAAAGUUUUUUCCAUUUGAGAAGCUUGUGUCUCACGGCUAUUACAUGUAAAAUAAUUAUUUGCUGGACAACGCAUUAUGUUAGUGGAGGACAAUAAAAAAGGAAAGAGUAAAACACAAGAUUAAUUGUUGUUUGAUUCUAAAAUACAUAUAUAAGGUCCACAUAUAACAUGUAGCAUCUUAUUUCUAGGUAGGCUAUAGGUAUAAUAUAUGUUUCAAAAAGUUCGUUUUUCUUUCUUAUAACCGUCUGUAACUAACCUUACUGAGUACUAGAAUAACCGUUCUAUGAAAAGAAAAAACGAACCUUACUGAAAAUAUAAAUUAAUAUACUUUUAACUAUAAAACCAAGUGAUAGCUGGUGCUUGUACUGGACGAGCCAAACUAUAUUAUUUUUGAAUAUAGCGGAAAUUCUAAUUUUACCACAAAUCUAAUAGCACAUAUUUACUUGUAGCGGUGGUGCAUAAGAAGAAUCGAUGAGUCAUUACACUAUUUUGUAUCAUUAAAGGAUUUCCAAUUGUUAACAUCAUUUUUUCCUCAAAAUAAAGUAAACUCAAAAUAUGAGUUUAUAUUAUACUCCAUUGGUUUCCUUUAUUUUUCCAUUUAAAAAUAUUGUAAGUAUAUUCCAUAAUACUUAUGAUUAAUUCUAACAAUGAUUGUUAUUUAAUAAUAUUACAAAUUUAUCCUAAAAGAAUAUAUUUUAACUAUAUCUUUUUCAUAUACAUAAUUUAAUUUAUAAAAGAAAUAAAAUUAUUUAUAAGAACUCAGAAUUGUAUUAUGAAAAUAUUAACAAUUUUGUUAAAGCAUAAAACACAAAUAUUAAAUCUUUUUAGAUACAAAAAGUAUAUAAAAUUGAAAGUUCAAUUUAUAAAUGAAAAAUAUAACACUAAAAUGAGUUUGCGAGUAAUAUUCUUUCAAAUUUGAAUAAAAUAAACCUAUUUUUUUCCUCAGAAUGAUGCAUUAUUGAAGAAUGUUUUUCUUCAAAAAAAGGAACUGUUAAAAAUGGUCUUAGAUUAUCUCUAAUAUAAAAUUAUAUUUUUUAUUAAACUAUAUAAAAUUAAAUAAAAUCUAAUAAAAAUAAGAUAAUAUAAAAACACAGAAAUUGAAUAAAAUUCAAAAAAUUAAAUAAAAAUCACAAAAUAAAAAAAAAAUCAUAAUAUUUUUUAAUUCCAAGAUAUUUAAUAAAAAACAAACAUAUCAUUGUUGAAAAUAACAGUUUCAAGCAUAUCACUAAUAACGAUGUGUUUCUCACAUAACCAUUUACAAUGACGUUUUGACAUAUCUAUCAUUUUGAAUGAUGGUUAUCGAAAACAUCAUUAUUGAUUUAUCAACCAUCAUUUUAACGAUGAUAUCGGAAAUUAUCAUUAGAGAUAUGUCAAAAACGUCAUUGUUAAUGGUUAUAUGAAAAAUCACCAUCUUCAUCAGUGAUAUGUUUGAAAUUUUUAUUGUCAACAACGAUAGGUUUGUUUUUAUAAAAAAACUUAUAUUAAGAAAAAAACUAUUUUUGAUUUUUUUAAAAUUUUGUGGUUUUUCUUUAAUUUUGGUUUAAUUUUCUGAAUUUUUAUUUAAUUUUAUGUAUUUCAAUUUAAUCUUAUUUAUUUAUUGAAUUUUUAUUUAAUUUCCUGUAUUUUAAUUUAAUAUAACUUAUUUUGAAAUUUAUUUAAUUUUAUGAAUUUUAUUCAAUUUUCUGAAUUUUUUCUAAUUUUCUGAAUUGUUAUUUAGUUAUCUGAUUUCUUAUUUAAUUUUUCUGAUUUUUUUUAAAUAUUUAUUUUAUUAAUUAAAAUUUUAUUUUUUUUCAAAAAAAACCGACACAUCAUCACAGUUAUCUGUUGUACAUGUCAGUUUUUAGCUUGAUGAACAAGUAAGCCAAGUUGAAGGUUUUUUGUGAUACAUAUGCCACUUUGAAGGUUUGAACUGCUAGUGAAAAAACUUUAACGUUUAAAGUGUCACUACGUGCCACUCUCAAGGUUUUUUAUGCGAUUUUGCCUAUUAAAAUGCAUAGAACAUAGUACAUGCUAUAAGUUUUCAGUCAUAACGUAGGCAUAGACCGAUAAAUCGAGAAUUAAAAACCGAACCUAAAAAACUUAAUUGAAAGCCAAACUAAUGUUCACAAAUAUCUAAAUGCUUUAUAUAUCCAUGGAACCAAAAAAAAAACUAAAACCAAACUGAGAACCAAAUAAGUAUCCGAAUAUUCAAAAUACAAAUUAUAUGCCUAAAAUAUUAUUUAUACUUAGUUACGUUUAAAAAUUAUAAAAUAUACUUAAAUACUAUUUUAUAAAGAAAAAUACACAAAAAAUCGGAUAACCCAAAUAUUUUAUCUAAAAUAUUUAAAAUUAACAUAUUUAUCCAAAAACCCGAACUACCCAAAUAUUUUUUAUCCAAAAUAUAUAAAUUUAUCAGAAUUAUUCAACUUUUUACCCAAAAAAAUCUGAUCUCUUACUCAAAUUAUCUGCAAUUUUCUGAAAAAAAACAGAACCAAACUGAAACUUAAUUGGAUCCAAAAUUUAUUGGAUAGUACUUGGUUCUUAAUAUUGUAUCUAAACUAGACUGAAAACAAAAAAAUAAACUAAAAUGUAACCAAAAUUUAUAAAUAACCGAACAGUUCUAUAUUUUAUAACAGAAAACCAAAAAGUGAACUGGAACCAAACUGAAAACCAAAAAAUAUGCCUACUUAUGAGUUGAAAAAGAUUAAUUUUAAAUAGAAAUUGAGGGAACAAAAUGAUUAAGCAACGAAAGAAAAAAAAGUAGAUUUCCCGUAACUCUCAUUUUCUGCAUUCUUUUUUUUUUUUGAAUGAAUGUAAAAUUUUAUUCAAUCAAACUGUACUACAUCAAGUGCUACUUCUUUAUUUUUUGUACAAAUAAUCAAAAAAUAGAAACUUGAUUCAAACUACCAGUCUCAUCUAGACCCAAACCAGACCAUCAAACUCUCUUCAAAAUGUUUGUGCCCUGUUCCUUUAACAGACAGGAGCUUAAGCCUGAUUGUCUUGUCGAUAAACUGGACCAAACGAGCUGCAUCAUGUGGCUGUUGACCAUGCCUACGCGAGUUUCUUUCUCUCCAUAUCGCAUGAAGAGUUGCUUGUAGAGUGUAUCGGAUGAGGAAUGUCAUCGUUGGAUUAAGCCAAGGUUUGGAUAUAAUCUCAACUAACUCAUUCCAAUCUGCAGAGUAUCCCUCCUGCAUCAUUCCUCCUACUAGCGUUUUCCACACCUGUUCUGAGUAGCGACAUUCGAAGAAGAGGUGGGAGCAUGAUUCCUGUGUGUUGUUACAGAGGACGCAGGUGGUGUCGAGUCCCGUUAUCCACUGUUGCAUUCGGUCCAGAGUUUGAAGUCUACCACGCAAUGCAAGCCAAAGAAAGAAGGAGUAUUUCGGAGUUGAUUGGGAAAACCAAACUCCUUUGCUCCAUGUACAGGUAUGGUGGUUUCCUCGUAUCUGUUCCCAGGUUCUCUUAGAGGAGAAUUUGGUUGCAAAAUUGUCAUCAGCUUGUCUCCACAAUGUGAUAUCAUCUUCCUGGCAAGCACUGCUUCGAAGGGCGUUUAGUUCCUCUUCCACUUCAUUCAGUAUACUCAGCCUAUGACGUCUUCUUCUACUGCGUCUCCCCAACGCCUCCGCCACUGUCGCAUUCUCAGAUAUCCCCAGAUCAAUAACACCUCGAUCUCCUAUUUUUUCUUUAAGGUUACCAUGCUUCGACCAUUGAUCAUACCAAAAAGAAGUUUGUUUCCCACUUCUUAUCUCUUUCUUCAGAAAAGGCUUUGCGAUGUCUCUGAGCUUAAGUAGUUUCCUCCACACCCAAGAGCCAGAGCUUGCGCUUCCCUUAAUCGACCAAAAUGAUCCCUUGCGUAUCAGGUAGCAGUGUAUCCAUUGUACCCAUAGGGAGGGGCCAAAUGAACUGACUCUCCAGAUAAGUUUGAGGCAGUGAACCAUGUUAAUUUCCUUCAGUGGUCGGAGACCCAAACCGCCUACACUCUUGGGUAGACAGACAUCCUCCCAGCUUACCUUAGCUUUGGUUGUCUCUAAACUCGGUCCAGACCACAAGAAAGCAGAGCAUAGCCUUUCUAUUUCUUUCAAACAGCUGCCAGGUAAUCUGAAGGCUGCCAUCCAGAAGUUCGCAAGGCUCGUUAUGACUGAUUUAAUAAGCUGAAGUCGACCCGCAUGAGACAAGAACCUCCCUGUCCAGUUACUCAUUUGUUUCCUGAUUUUCUCGACUAGAGGCAUGUAGUCAUUCACCGUCAUGCGUUUGGUUAAAAGAGGAAGCCCGAGGUACCUAACUGGUAGAUCACCGGAGGAGAAUGGAAAGCUAGACAGAAUGUCUGCUUUCACCGCUUCAGAUAUACCUGCGACGUAGAGAGUAGACUUCUCCAAGCUAAUAUUGAGCCCUGAUAUGGCUGCAAACUCAGCAAAUACUUUCAGCACUCCUUCUACAGAUCUUUUGGUGCCAUCAGUAAACACCAGCAGGUCGUCUGCAAAGCACAGGUGAGAUAGGAGAAUAUUUUUGCACCUUGGGUGGUAGCCAAUGUGCUUGUUCUCUACCGACUUAUCUAGCAUCAGUGAGAGAACGUUGAUGCAGAUGACGAAUAGGUAUGGGGAGAGUGCGCAGCCUUGCCUCAUACCUCUCUUGCUUUGGAAAAAACCCGCUAGUUCGCCAUUGACUUGCACUGAGAAGGAAGCCGUGCACACACAGAGCUUAAUCCAGUGAACAAAUUCCUCAGGCAUGUUUAGUGCCCUUAGGGGCAGGAAUGGCCAAUGUACCGAGUCAAAGGCUUUUGCAAGGUCGAUCUUCAUAGCGCAUCGAGGUGAGAUCUUUGACAAUCUCCGUCGCAAGAAGCAAGUUCUACACUAGUAGCCUGUCUUUAACAAAGGCUGACUGGUUAUAGGAGAUUGUUAAACCUUUUUUUUUUUUGUAAAAGAAAACGAAACAUGUUAAAACUUUUUCGUCGCUUUCGUACAUAUUAUGGUCCACUCUCUGAUCAUAUAUCAUGAUUAAUCAUCGUCUCUUUCUCUUCACGACUUCAUUUUCAUUUGUUCAUUUUACUAAUGAUUUCACACCACAAUUUGGUGAAAUAUGUCAACCGUGUCCGUGUGCGUGUAUUCGAUUUGAUUAUUAUUAACAAUCUCAUGCUGAAACCUAGAUUAAAUUCUAAUGUUUGACUUCUAAUGUUUGAAAUGUUAAAAAUAUGAAAGUUUUUUCCAUUUGAGAAGCUUGUGUCUCACGGCUAUUACAUGUAAAAUAAUUAUUUGCUGGACAACGCAUUAUGUUAGUGGAGGACAAUAAAAAAGGAAAGAGUAAAACACAAGAUUAAUUGUUGUUUGAUUCUAAAAUACAUAUAUAAGGUCCACAUAUAACAUGUAGCAUCUUAUUUCUAGGUAGGCUAUAGGUAUAAUAUAUGUUUCAAAAAGUUCGUUUUUCUUUCUUAUAACCGUCUGUAACUAACCUUACUGAGUACUAGAAUAACCGUUCUAUGAAAAGAAAAAACGAACCUUACUGAAAAUAUAAAUUAAUAUACUUUUAACUAUAAAACCAAGUGAUAGCUGGUGCUUGUACUGGACGAGCCAAACUAUAUUAUUUUUGAAUAUAGCGGAAAUUCUAAUUUUACCACAAAUCUAAUAGCACAUAUUUACUUGUAGCGGUGGUGCAUAAGAAGAAUCGAUGAGUCAUUACACUAUUUUGUAUCAUUAAAGGAUUUCCAAUUGUUAACAUCAUUUUUUCCUCAAAAUAAAGUAAACUCAAAAUAUGAGUUUAUAUUAUACUCCAUUGGUUUCCUUUAUUUUUCCAUUUAAAAAUAUUGUAAGUAUAUUCCAUAAUACUUAUGAUUAAUUCUAACAAUGAUUGUUAUUUAAUAAUAUUACAAAUUUAUCCUAAAAGAAUAUAUUUUAACUAUAUCUUUUUCAUAUACAUAAUUUAAUUUAUAAAAGAAAUAAAAUUAUUUAUAAGAACUCAGAAUUGUAUUAUGAAAAUAUUAACAAUUUUGUUAAAGCAUAAAACACAAAUAUUAAAUCUUUUUAGAUACAAAAAGUAUAUAAAAUUGAAAGUUCAAUUUAUAAAUGAAAAAUAUAACACUAAAAUGAGUUUGCGAGUAAUAUUCUUUCAAAUUUGAAUAAAAUAAACCUAUUUUUUUCCUCAGAAUGAUGCAUUAUUGAAGAAUGUUUUUCUUCAAAAAAAGGAACUGUUAAAAAUGGUCUUAGAUUAUCUCUAAUAUAAAAUUAUAUUUUUUAUUAAACUAUAUAAAAUUAAAUAAAAUCUAAUAAAAAUAAGAUAAUAUAAAAACACAGAAAUUGAAUAAAAUUCAAAAAAUUAAAUAAAAAUCACAAAAUAAAAAAAAAAUCAUAAUAUUUUUUAAUUCCAAGAUAUUUAAUAAAAAACAAACAUAUCAUUGUUGAAAAUAACAGUUUCAAGCAUAUCACUAAUAACGAUGUGUUUCUCACAUAACCAUUUACAAUGACGUUUUGACAUAUCUAUCAUUUUGAAUGAUGGUUAUCGAAAACAUCAUUAUUGAUUUAUCAACCAUCAUUUUAACGAUGAUAUCGGAAAUUAUCAUUAGAGAUAUGUCAAAAACGUCAUUGUUAAUGGUUAUAUGAAAAAUCACCAUCUUCAUCAGUGAUAUGUUUGAAAUUUUUAUUGUCAACAACGAUAGGUUUGUUUUUAUAAAAAAACUUAUAUUAAGAAAAAAACUAUUUUUGAUUUUUUUAAAAUUUUGUGGUUUUUCUUUAAUUUUGGUUUAAUUUUCUGAAUUUUUAUUUAAUUUUAUGUAUUUCAAUUUAAUCUUAUUUAUUUAUUGAAUUUUUAUUUAAUUUCCUGUAUUUUAAUUUAAUAUAACUUAUUUUGAAAUUUAUUUAAUUUUAUGAAUUUUAUUCAAUUUUCUGAAUUUUUUCUAAUUUUCUGAAUUGUUAUUUAGUUAUCUGAUUUCUUAUUUAAUUUUUCUGAUUUUUUUUAAAUAUUUAUUUUAUUAAUUAAAAUUUUAUUUUUUUUCAAAAAAAACCGACACAUCAUCACAGUUAUCUGUUGUACAUGUCAGUUUUUAGCUUGAUGAACAAGUAAGCCAAGUUGAAGGUUUUUUGUGAUACAUAUGCCACUUUGAAGGUUUGAACUGCUAGUGAAAAAACUUUAACGUUUAAAGUGUCACUACGUGCCACUCUCAAGGUUUUUUAUGCGAUUUUGCCUAUUAAAAUGCAUAGAACAUAGUACAUGCUAUAAGUUUUCAGUCAUAACGUAGGCAUAGACCGAUAAAUCGAGAAUUAAAAACCGAACCUAAAAAACUUAAUUGAAAGCCAAACUAAUGUUCACAAAUAUCUAAAUGCUUUAUAUAUCCAUGGAACCAAAAAAAAAACUAAAACCAAACUGAGAACCAAAUAAGUAUCCGAAUAUUCAAAAUACAAAUUAUAUGCCUAAAAUAUUAUUUAUACUUAGUUACGUUUAAAAAUUAUAAAAUAUACUUAAAUACUAUUUUAUAAAGAAAAAUACACAAAAAAUCGGAUAACCCAAAUAUUUUAUCUAAAAUAUUUAAAAUUAACAUAUUUAUCCAAAAACCCGAACUACCCAAAUAUUUUUUAUCCAAAAUAUAUAAAUUUAUCAGAAUUAUUCAACUUUUUACCCAAAAAAAUCUGAUCUCUUACUCAAAUUAUCUGCAAUUUUCUGAAAAAAAACAGAACCAAACUGAAACUUAAUUGGAUCCAAAAUUUAUUGGAUAGUACUUGGUUCUUAAUAUUGUAUCUAAACUAGACUGAAAACAAAAAAAUAAACUAAAAUGUAACCAAAAUUUAUAAAUAACCGAACAGUUCUAUAUUUUAUAACAGAAAACCAAAAAGUGAACUGGAACCAAACUGAAAACCAAAAAAUAUGCCUACUUAUGAGUUGAAAAAGAUUAAUUUUAAAUAGAAAUUGAGGGAACAAAAUGAUUAAGCAACGAAAGAAAAAAAAGUAGAUUUCCCGUAACUCUCAUUUUCUGCAUUCUUUUUUUUUUUUGAAUGAAUGUAAAAUUUUAUUCAAUCAAACUGUACUACAUCAAGUGCUACUUCUUUAUUUUUUGUACAAAUAAUCAAAAAAUAGAAACUUGAUUCAAACUACCAGUCUCAUCUAGACCCAAACCAGACCAUCAAACUCUCUUCAAAAUGUUUGUGCCCUGUUCCUUUAACAGACAGGAGCUUAAGCCUGAUUGUCUUGUCGAUAAACUGGACCAAACGAGCUGCAUCAUGUGGCUGUUGACCAUGCCUACGCGAGUUUCUUUCUCUCCAUAUCGCAUGAAGAGUUGCUUGUAGAGUGUAUCGGAUGAGGAAUGUCAUCGUUGGAUUAAGCCAAGGUUUGGAUAUAAUCUCAACUAACUCAUUCCAAUCUGCAGAGUAUCCCUCCUGCAUCAUUCCUCCUACUAGCGUUUUCCACACCUGUUCUGAGUAGCGACAUUCGAAGAAGAGGUGGGAGCAUGAUUCCUGUGUGUUGUUACAGAGGACGCAGGUGGUGUCGAGUCCCGUUAUCCACUGUUGCAUUCGGUCCAGAGUUUGAAGUCUACCACGCAAUGCAAGCCAAAGAAAGAAGGAGUAUUUCGGAGUUGAUUGGGAAAACCAAACUCCUUUGCUCCAUGUACAGGUAUGGUGGUUUCCUCGUAUCUGUUCCCAGGUUCUCUUAGAGGAGAAUUUGGUUGCAAAAUUGUCAUCAGCUUGUCUCCACAAUGUGAUAUCAUCUUCCUGGCAAGCACUGCUUCGAAGGGCGUUUAGUUCCUCUUCCACUUCAUUCAGUAUACUCAGCCUAUGACGUCUUCUUCUACUGCGUCUCCCCAACGCCUCCGCCACUGUCGCAUUCUCAGAUAUCCCCAGAUCAAUAACACCUCGAUCUCCUAUUUUUUCUUUAAGGUUACCAUGCUUCGACCAUUGAUCAUACCAAAAAGAAGUUUGUUUCCCACUUCUUAUCUCUUUCUUCAGAAAAGGCUUUGCGAUGUCUCUGAGCUUAAGUAGUUUCCUCCACACCCAAGAGCCAGAGCUUGCGCUUCCCUUAAUCGACCAAAAUGAUCCCUUGCGUAUCAGGUAGCAGUGUAUCCAUUGUACCCAUAGGGAGGGGCCAAAUGAACUGACUCUCCAGAUAAGUUUGAGGCAGUGAACCAUGUUAAUUUCCUUCAGUGGUCGGAGACCCAAACCGCCUACACUCUUGGGUAGACAGACAUCCUCCCAGCUUACCUUAGCUUUGGUUGUCUCUAAACUCGGUCCAGACCACAAGAAAGCAGAGCAUAGCCUUUCUAUUUCUUUCAAACAGCUGCCAGGUAAUCUGAAGGCUGCCAUCCAGAAGUUCGCAAGGCUCGUUAUGACUGAUUUAAUAAGCUGAAGUCGACCCGCAUGAGACAAGAACCUCCCUGUCCAGUUACUCAUUUGUUUCCUGAUUUUCUCGACUAGAGGCAUGUAGUCAUUCACCGUCAUGCGUUUGGUUAAAAGAGGAAGCCCGAGGUACCUAACUGGUAGAUCACCGGAGGAGAAUGGAAAGCUAGACAGAAUGUCUGCUUUCACCGCUUCAGAUAUACCUGCGACGUAGAGAGUAGACUUCUCCAAGCUAAUAUUGAGCCCUGAUAUGGCUGCAAACUCAGCAAAUACUUUCAGCACUCCUUCUACAGAUCUUUUGGUGCCAUCAGUAAACACCAGCAGGUCGUCUGCAAAGCACAGGUGAGAUAGGAGAAUAUUUUUGCACCUUGGGUGGUAGCCAAUGUGCUUGUUCUCUACCGACUUAUCUAGCAUCAGUGAGAGAACGUUGAUGCAGAUGACGAAUAGGUAUGGGGAGAGUGCGCAGCCUUGCCUCAUACCUCUCUUGCUUUGGAAAAAACCCGCUAGUUCGCCAUUGACUUGCACUGAGAAGGAAGCCGUGCACACACAGAGCUUAAUCCAGUGAACAAAUUCCUCAGGCAUGUUUAGUGCCCUUAGGGGCAGGAAUGGCCAAUGUACCGAGUCAAAGGCUUUUGCAAGGUCGAUCUUCAUAGCGCAUCGAGGUGAGAUCUUUGACAAUCUCCGUCGCAAGAAGCAAGUUCUACACUAGUAGCCUGUCUUUAACAAAGGCUGACUGGUUAUAGGAGAUGCAUUGGGGGAGUGUGCUCUUCAGUCUGUUUGCUAUAAUUUUGGAGAUGACCUUGUAUAGGACAUUGCAGCAGGAGAUUGGUCUGUAGUCUCGCAUCUCCUGUGCAUUUUCUGUCUUCGGGAUGAGUGCCAAGAUUGUUGCAUUGAGACCUGUGGGGAGGAAACCUUUGCUAAAGAAGGAUUGAACCGCAGCUGUCAAAUCCUUAGCAAUGAUGGGCCAAGACGCCUUGAAGAACUCCGUAGUGAAGCCAUCAGGUCCAGGUGAUUUGUCGCUCAGCAUUCGAAAUACCACCUCCUUGAUCUCGCUCUCUGUUACUGGCUUUAUCAGCAUUGCCCUUUGCUCGUCAUUGCAGCGGAAGGGUACGAGAUCUUGGAGAUCAGCAACUGUCUUCUCUACCAUACCCGGAGGUUCCAAAGACAAAAACUCAUUGAAGAAUCUCUCAGCCUCGUGUUUGAUCUCCUCUUGAAAAGUGACAAUGUUCCCCGAGGAACACUUGAUUUCUCUGAUAGCAUUUCUGGUUUCUCUGACCUUUGCCGCAUUGUAGAAAGCUUUGUUGUUUCUGUCUCCUACUUGUAGCCAGUGGAGCUUAGAGCGUUGCUUGAGGACCUUCUCCUCAAUAUUUGAGAUCCUCUGCCAUCUCUCUGCUGCCGUUUGCUCCGUUAAGAUGUUUCCUUCGGUGGGAUCUAGCAUCACCUUCUCUUGCUUCUCGCAUAGGUCCUGGUAAGCUUCUUUAACCCGCUUCGUAAGUUCUCCAAGUUUAUCUUUGCUCAGUCUUCGGAUCAAAGGUUUGAGGCCUUUGAGAUACUUGGAGAAUCUGAAGAGGGCAGUUGUGGACUGGAACAAAGGCGUUGUGUCUUUCCAAUAGUCUGAAACUGUUUCCAAGAACUCCGGAGUUUCUACAAUAACAUUAGAGAACUUAAAAGGUCUGCGUUUUCCCACUGCCUCAGCCCGGAGAUGAAAUCUUCCCCGAAGGUGAUCUGAGCAACCUCCCGCCUCAAAAAUGCCAUAAGCUUGAGUUCGCUGGUUGAGCCAGGUCUCAUUUACCAGAAUUCUAUCCAAUUUUUUGCAGACCGUUCCUUCUCCCCUCCUGUUGCACCAAGUAAACUUCGGACCCUGAUAUCCCAUGUCGAGCAAUUUGCAAUGUUGAAUAACACUCUCAAAGUCCCGCAUUCCUGGAGUAGUCAGACCCGAAUCUUGGUAGCUGGAGUGCUCAUCCCCAUCUAGUAUCUCAUUGAAGUCUCCCAUUAUUACCCAUUCCUUAUUUUUGAACAUUGGUGAGUUCUGAUGAGACUUGAUAUCUUCCCACAACUCUUUUCUCUUCUCUGCAGUGUUUUCCGCAUAGACAAAGGAGCAGAGAAUCUCCUCGUCUUCCCCUUCCACAAAAACUGAAACCGUAAUUAUCUGAUCAGAUUUGAAAACCGGAGUCACUCUAACUUGCGAACUCCAAAGAACCCAUAUCCUCCCUUUUCUACUAAACUCGUAAUUAUUUACAAAUGACCAGCCUGGAAAAUUUGUUGAGACAAUUUGAGCUGAUUUGCUCUCCUUGACUCGAGUUUCCAACAGACCACCAAACUGCAAUCUCUUAUUCUGUAUCCAUUGACGGACGACUUUGUGCUUAGCUUCCUUGUUAAAUCCUCUCACGUUCCAGAAGAACCCAGUCAUUGAGAUGAUUUGCGAGACCGUUUUCCCUGAGUUCCAGGGUCAGUGUCUUUGUUGGUGUGCUCAGAGAAGAUCUUGUGGUUAGUCUUGGAGCUUCUUGGAAGAGAAGGCCGUAGACAACUCCCUCCACCAACACCAGUUCCUUGACGUUCCUCUUUCUCAGAAUUGCUCCCAUUCCCUUUAUUUUGCUCCACCCUCGAAGUCUUCGUUUCUAGGGAGACCAACUGAUCCUCGAUCACAGCGGUUUCACUAGAUGUAUUCUCUUUAUCUUCCUCAUUCAGAAUUCUUUCCCCCAACUCCUUGCCUUCUUGAUUAUCUUCUGUUGUGGUGCCCUCAUCAUCCUCCUCCACUACAGUUUCCCCCCUGUUGCUAUCGCUGAUAUUGAUUACCAAGUCACCGUUGUCGUCUGCAUCAUUAAGCGCUGAGAACCUCGAUGGGGUGGCAAUUCUCUCUUGGCCAUACUUUGGAGUUGUUGCUGUUGGGUUUCUGCUUGUUUUCCCCGGGGACACUCGAGACCAGCCCUUUACAACUUCUCCCUCCUCAAUUUCCCCUUCGUCCAUUGCAACUUCCUCUGCUUCAUCUUCUACUACAAUCUCUUCUUCAGCCGCCAUUUUCCCAGCAGCAUCAUCUUUACCUGCAACAUCCUUAUCUCCCUCUGUCAGUAUCUGUUUCUCCACUCCCCUCUUAUGUUGUUCCUCCAGGCCAUUUAUGUCCUUUACUGCCUCCCCCUCGUUUGUGUCUGCCUGCUUCUUACUAAUGUACCCAGUUUCUAUUAUCUCAGUGACAGUUCUUGGGAAAUCUUCCUUCUUGUUCAUGAGGCAGGUCUUCUCCGUGUGGCCCAUUUGCUGCAAGUGUAACAGCGAUCAGGUAGCCAUGGGUAGACAAAUUCUACCAGCGAUGACUUCCCGUUCUUUGUGAAGUUGAUUUUCUUCGGCAAAUCUUUUGAGAGGUCAGCGUUGACAAAUAUUUUUGCAAUCUUGAAAUUGGAACACGCCGCUGUCUCUGGAUGGAGCUUCACUGGAUGUCCCGCUGCACUGGUGAUAAAGCUUAGGCCCUCCCACGAGACCAUGUUCAUCGGAACAUUCUUAAGAUGCACCCAAAGCGGUAUCGAUUUGACUUCCGGUUUCUCCUCCAGCUCUUUCGGAGUCCAUUUUGCAACCACCAGAGGAAUGUUUCCGAUGUUCCACAUCCCCCUCCUUAAGAUUCGUGCUCUCAUAGCUGCAUCGCUUACCCGAAACUUCAUUGUUGUGGAAUCGAUCUCGUAGACUUCCACUGCCUGCCCUCUGCCUCCAUCUCUCCAAAUUUUGUUCACAACCGCGUGAAUCCUCGCGAUAUGAGGCGCCGUGUCCAGAAACUUUCGGAUUAGGAAAUCCUCCCAAAGAGGAUUCACGUUGAAUACUACUUCAUCAGGUAUCUCCACGUUGAGUUGACCCUCUGAAUCUGUAACUUCGACGGAAUACUUCCGCAAAACCUUCUUCUCUGUCGCAACACCAACCCAUGAUUUCGACGGAGCCCCUUCCUGUCGCUUCUGACCGUUCUCCAAACCUGCUGACCCUUGUUGUGAGCCCUCUUGAACCUUCCUCGUAGCCGGAGCUGUCUCAGAUGAGCCCGGCGGCCGCGCCGAAUCCAUCGCAAAGAUGCAUCCAACUUCUGCAUUCAAACAUAAAGUAGUUUCAAAUGCAAUGUGAAAAGAUGCAUCCAAGUAUUAAAAUGGUUCCAUGUGGAAGUAACGUGAGAGGUGUUCUAAAUCAUUAUGUUUGUCAUAAUAUAUGUAACGAAGUUGCCGUCUUAGCUCAGUGGUAGAGCGCGUGACUUUUAAUCCCGUGGCCGUGGGUUCGAUCCCCACAGACGGCGACCAUGUUUUUUUUCAUUCCUGUCGAUGCCAAGUCUCAGUUUUCAAGUUGUUCUUGACUUGUAAAUGUUGGAUAUCUUCAAAAGUGAAGCAAGUAAAAAGGAUUCAAAAUGUUUCAACUUGGGAUAGAAUCAAAAUGGUUCAACUUGGCUAAAUGGAUGGUUAAUCUAACUAUUGAAGCAGAGAAGUGAGAUCAGAGCACACAGGAAGAUACACGGUACAAACAAACACAGUCCGACAGUGGAUUGUACACUGAUGCAAAACAUGUAUAGAGACGAUGCAGAAUAUAUUGGACGCUAAAGAAUAGGAACACGAAAUCUUUUCAUACAAGGCCAGCAUAGCAGCUAGCAAAGCAUGGGAUUAAUGUAUAUUUUUAACAGUAUUCAAGAAAGCAGGCUUGAGAUAUUUCACACAGAAUUAUAAUACAAGUGGCAGUCAGCAACAGGGAUGUGUUAUAAUGAAGUUAUAAAGAAGAAAUCGAGAUACAAUAUCUUGUUUUAUUACUCUUAUAUGUUUUGCUUGUAUCAAAUCCAUGCAGAAUUAAAACCAUAAUAGCAAAGCUUUUAUCUUAUUAUUCUUCUUCUUUAUCUUUGGUCAAGAAGACAAGGAAAAUAAAAACCGGUCACUUCUGAUACAUCAUGAUAGGGCUUUGGAGGGAUCACGCUGUUCUCUUAAUGAUAUGGACUCCACUGUCUGUAUCCACAAUAUCACUUAUAUCACCAACCCUGAGUGCGUAUGUUGCUUCCUCAAACGGUUUCUGCAUCUGACCUCGCCCAAACGGACCUGAACACACGUUCGUACACAAUCAACAUCCCAACACUUUCACCAUAAGAUCUAUAGACGAAAUUCAUCAAGAAUACAGAUGAAUCAAAGAAGAAUUCUACCGUCUGUAAUGAUAUAAGUAUAAUCCAAUUUUCAAUUAAACUUGAAAUCAAUUAAUCUUAAUCACUCGCUGUAUCUUCACUACGCAGUUGAAAUGGCAUGACAACGAAAUAGAGAUUCGAGAAGAGAACAACAAACCUAGAUCGCCGCCGCGUUUGGCGGAGCUACAGUCGGAAACGCGAGUGGCCACAUCCUCGAAGUUAGCUUUGCCAGAGACGAUGUCUUCGCGGAUCGAUCUAAGCUGUUCGACGGCUGCUUCUCUGGUAGUAGUCAUAAUGAUCUUUCCUUCGGGAUCCUUCCACGACGCCUUCCUACGAGACCCUUGGUGCUUGAUCAGAAUGUGCGACGCCUUAACUUGGUCUCUCGACGCCAUCUUCUUCCCGGUGAUUGUGCUGCUUGUGGUUAAAGUGUGCGGCUCUCUUUUCUUUGAGAAGCAUCUUUUAUAAGGUAAUUCGGUUCGAUUCGGUUUAAUUCUGAUUGGUUUGAUUCGGUUUAAAUUAUGUCUUUAUAAAAGUUUUUUGAGUUGUACAAUUUAUUCUACAACGCCUCAAGCCUGUUUUGAACUUUUGAAGCUCUUUUGCUUUCAACGGAAGAAGGGUCCCAUUUUUCGUUUCAAGCUCUCAAAUUAACAAAUUCUUGUUCUCUUUUUUUUUUUUGUUCUUAGCAAGAAAACGCAGAGUUUGCAUUAUAAAUUCGAUAUAUCUGAUCCUCCUCUGUGGACAUAUAGAUCCCUGAGAUUCAAUUAACACCACCUCAAAGGUGUAUUCUUCAUCUUCUGGAUUUGCGAAAUUCCCUAAGUUUAACGUAUUUUGUUUGGUUGGAGUGGAGGAUUUUAUUAACUCAUACCAUAAAACGUCCCACAUCGGCAAGCUAAAGAAAGUUGGCAUAAGAUUGGCAGUAUAAGAAGGAAGCCAAGCCUCACUUCCAAAUCAUACCUUUCUCGGCCUUUUGGCUAAGAUCAAGUGUAGUAUCUGUUCUUAUCAGUUUAAUAUCUGAUAUGUGGUCCAUUGGAUCACACGAUAUUAACUUUAUUUUUUAAGGGAGGAAACCCAUCAAAAUAGCUUGCUAUUUGGGUUUCUAAGAGUCGUCCAUGCGUUGCACUAUUGCAUGGAAUUAGGCUUAACCCGCCAAUUCACUAGUUCUACUCUUACUCGGAUGUCUACGCCUAUGUAUUGAAAGGUUUUGCUAAUGAAUGAUUUUAUUAUAAGUAGAACAAAACUAUUAGACAAAAUUUCAUAAAUCGUCGAUGUAAAUAGGCAUGUUAUUAAGUAGCUUCACUCCUUUGAUUUUAUCUCUGCAAUUAUUUCCAUCCUAGAAAUCUAGGAUAUAGAUUUAGCUUACAUGAAUGCUCCAAAGCUGUAUAUAUGUAUCGGUCUUUGUAUUCGAAAUAAAACCAGAGUUCUCCCAGAAAGUGUAGCAUGUUUUUCAUUACCAGCCAUUGUAGGAAGGAGAACUUAGGAGUUGCAUGAGCAAACCAAGGGGUUAUUGGAUACACUGAUCUGAUUUGGUUCCAAUUGUCUUUUGAGGAGAAUUUGUCCUUUGCAUUUGUGUCCAUGCUUUUUCAUAAGUGAAAUGUCUGGUUUUCCUUGCAAUGCUCUGCUUUUCACCCUUUUGAUCUCAUCCUCUAUCUCAGUUAGUACAGCAACUCCAUGUCGUCUUCGACGAUGCCGCUCAGAAACACAGUCUUUGCAUCACCAAUUCCCAAAUCAACCACGCCGCGAUCACCCAAAAGUUUUAUAAGGCAGGCCAAAUUUCGACCAAGAGUCGUACCAGAAGGACAUUCCUCUGCCCCUUCUCAUCUCUACCCGAUUGUCUUCUACUCAAUUUCUUAUAAGUUAGAUAGGUAAACGAGUGUUGAUUUGAGUAGUAACACAUGCCUGUUAUAUACCUCAAGUCGUAUAAACUAUAGACAGCUUCUUUUGAAUAGCAAAUGGAAAGGAAAAAAGUAAAGUUAACGGUUGAGAUAAGUAGCAGAUGGUACAGGUAAAGUGUCUUCCAUUGUGUUCUUAUUUUCAACUAAACAAGAUUCAGCGAGAAGAGAGAAGAAAAUGAAAUGCUUAGGUAUAAUCAAAAUUUGUGAAAUGAAUAUUUGAAAAUUCAUAAUGUAAGGCUUUUUAACCAAUAGAAAGACAGGAGAAAAUUAUAACAAAAUCUUUUUGAGAUUACACAAGGUCAAAAGGAAAUGCAACAAUGCUCCAAUGGAAGAAACAAUUAUAACUUGUGAAACCUACUUGGCAUUGGAGGCGGAAGUAGCAGCCUGACAACGGAGGAUGCAAGGGUUAUACUGUUUAUUUUGCAACAAGUCUCUUUGAUCUCAAACAAUACCUGCAACUCUGAAACUGCUUUGAUGUAUGAAUCUUGACACAAGCGGUAAAUGUUGGAUUUUGUUCCAAAUAUACAUUUAGAUGUUAGUAUGAUGAUUGCUAUGAGAGGAACAUUGUUACACCUCUAAACAUACAACUUGAAGAAAAAAUUAGCUUGUGUUGGGACUGCUUAAUUCUGAGAAAAUGUCUUAUUGAUGCAUGAGAAUAACGUGAAAAUAGUGUAGUCAAGGGAUUCUAAUGGAAUACAGCAAUAUAACAAAAUCUUUAGAGAUUUCACAAUUUCAAAAUGAAACGCAUCAAAAUUAACUCCGGGAAAACAAACAAACAAACCGUAGACUGCCACACCACGAGCCAUAAGGCCAUGAGUUAUGGGAGUGGCUCAGCCCGCCAACUCACUAGUCUAACUCUUACGCGUAACUCACUAGUCCAAUUCUUACGCAGAAGUCCUUCCCCAUAUAAAAAUGAAAGGCCUUGCAAAUUAUCAUCCGUGCAGAUAGGCAUGUCGUUAAGUAGCUCUCCUCCUUUGAUCUUAUCUGUGUGAUUAUCUCCCUCCUAAGAUAUAGAGAUAGGUCAUCAUCAACUUUCUCAAUGGGCUUACAUGAACGUACCAGUCUAUGUAUUUGAAAUAAAACCAGAGUUCUCAAGACUUAAAAGAAAACAAAAUUAUAUUCAUUUAGUGUAUUUGGAUAUGAGAGAAUCCAUAUGGUUGAUCUUCUUAGCGUACAAUUUGAUAUGGGACAUGAACGUGAGAGCUCCCUAUCAGACAUUUACUUUAUUGGUACUUGUCUGUCAUGCAUCGAUCUGAUGUCUCCCUACGAUCUAAUCACAGAUUGAUGGAAGAGAUGAAUUUUUGUGUAAGACACAAUUACAGCAGAUAUAUCUUCCUGGUUUUCCCUAGAUCCUCUCCCCACCCCUAAAUAUGUUAUUAUCACAUCACAUAUGUCAGACACAACUCAUGCAAACCACUCCAUUUCAGGAGAUUCUACAUGUGUCCUUGAUGCAAACACUGGUCUGAAUAUGCUACCACACAAGUUUAGAUAAUCCAGUUAUCAAAUCAACAUUCUACUCGUCUCCUUGAUGGAAAUCUCAGCUUCUCAAGUUGUAAUAGAGAAAACAGAAAGGUAAUUAUCAGACAGAUCAAACUACAAUAGGGAGGGGAUGGAUUUUGCUGACAUACUUAAUAAUCGUGGGAUACAUAUUCUUGAACAUGAACGGUCUUGAUUGUACGUGUCUUUUAGUUUCUGUAUUAUCUUUGCUUUUGUAAUGUGGAAUUUAUGUAUAUAUAUUGGUCCAUGGUUUCAAUUCCAAUCAGCACAAGAUCUAAAGCAUGAAAGCUCCAAAGCUGUGCAUAUCGAUUAUUGUCAUGACUGACUUGUGUAUUGGGAUAACAAAACCUCACAUGGGCAAACAGUAGCAACUUAGGUUUGCUAUUCUUGAGAAGUGUACUCACAUGAUUAUAACAAAAACGAGAUUUCAGAACACAAGGAGGGUUCACAAGGAUUCAAAGUAAAACUCAAACAAAACAAAUAUAUAUCUUAUUAAACCUAAUCAGCCUUGGCGGCAGAAGCAGCAGCUUGACCUCUGAGACGACCAGUCCUCCUAGCAGCAAUAAGACCAACCUUUUGCCCUGGUGGUGCGUCACGCCUAACCGUACUCGCGUGACCAAUGUGCUGAUGGUUACCUCCUCCGUGAGGAUGCUCCACUGGAUUCAUAGCCACACCACGAACCUUAGGCCACGAGUUUCUCUUCACACGGUACUUGUGGUACGCGUUUCCCGCCUUGAGCAUCGGCUUCUCGGUUCUUCCACCACCAGCGACUUGACCAAUCAUGGCCCUGCAUCCACUCGGAACAAUCUUCUUCGAACCAGAUGGCAACUUGAUCCUAUCAAAUUAAAACUCAAUCAAGAAACCGACCAAAUCAACAUAUCUAAACAGUUAAUGUCCGAGUCAAGAAACAAACCUAGUAGUAUCAUUGUCAGGGUUGUGCGAAAUCACGAUAGCGUAAUCCCCAGAAGCUCUAGCGAGCACACCACGGUCACCGACAUGAUGCUCGACGUUACAGACAACAGCUCCUUCAGGGAUAGCUCUAAGCGGGAGAACAUUUCCGACAACGAGCGUCGCUUUCUUACCGCAGUACAAGAACUGUCCGGUGUACAUGCCUUCGGCAGCGACGAAGAGCUCCUUCUGCUUCUUGUAACGGAAAGGAUGACGGAAGGCGACGCGAGCGAGCGGCGCGCCACGGCCGGGAUCGUGGAUGAUCUCCGUCACGACGCCCUUGAGGUAUCCAAUUUCUCUCGCCGUAGUCGAGGCUGCGGAACUUGGCGGGGCCUUUGCGGUGGUGAGUGUGGGAUUUGAAGACGGAACCAGCUCCCUUACGUUGAGCUCUGAUGACACGUUAAAGUAAAAAAAAAAAAAAAAAAAAAGAAGAUUGAAAAUAGGGUUUUGAGACCGAACUCGAAAGUGUGAGAAAAAAUCAGGUUUAUAUUGUGCAACCUAAAGUCGUUUAAGGGCUUUAAGUACUAAAGCCCAUUAAACCCAUACAAAAGCCGGUUACUACCAUUUCUUAGACAGGUUUACGCUAACCGGAACACUUUGGAAAAUCAUAAUAAGUCUGUAACUAACUUCUUGAAAUUCAUGCAAGUUUAGAUAAACUAUUUACAAGUUGAAUUCAGAUGGAAACUAUAUAUAUCACCGACUCACCUGAAUCAAACAGGAUCUAGUAUCAGUUUGGUUCAUAUAUGGAUUUUUCUUUUUGACGACAUUUCAUAUAUGGUUUAAAAUGUGUUAUAAGAAAAUCGAAACAAACGGAAUAAAUUUGAAAAUGGCAUUGUGCCAAUGACAUUGUAUGAUGCAUCAUGCAUCAUGUGUAGUUUGAGUUGUAUGAAGACCUACACAAUCUUUUUUUCUACGACUACUUUUUUACUUUGAGAUAUUUGAUCCUAACCGGUCUUGAACAUAGAAAAAUGUUUGAUCCAUAAACACACAUUUUAAGAAACAGUGUACAUAAAAUAUUAAUCUCAAAAAAAAAAAAUUCUCCAUAAUAAUUUAUUUUUUUAUUAAUUUUUUUACAAAAUUUCUGUAACCUCCAAAAUCUCAAAACAUGCUCUCUGGCGUGAACGUAUCAGCGUAAACCUAUCAACAAAAGCACAAAGAGCUAAAGUUUCAACAUCAAAAUUCAAGACUCAUCAGCCGGUCUUUAACAAACCUCAAUCUGCCUAUUUGUAAUAACUCCUCCAAAUUAUAUUUUGAAACUAAAAGGUUUAUAUAUAGUCGAAGGUGGAUCAAAUAGACAUGACGAGGUGGAUUUGAAGAUUGAAUAUAAGGUUGAUGCUCCAUUAGAGUGGAUGAGAACAUAUAUAGUUUCAGUUUGGCUCAUAUAAAAAUAAGUUUAAGAAGUUAUGUUCCUCUCUGUCUUAAAAUUUCUCUAUAAUAAGUGGCUAGUCCACAACUCUGUAAAAGAAAACCUUGGUUAAAUCUUAACAUUUUUCACCAAAAAAAAAAAAAAAAGUUUAAGAAAAUCGUAACAAACAGAACAAAAGAGUAUUUUGUGUUGUGAAGACUUGAAAGGAAUCUUUGUUUUCCUUCGACUACCUGCUUUGAGAUAUUUGAUCAGUAUAUCAGUCAUUGAUAUAUAAUAAAAGAUAAUGCAUCAUUGAAGCAACCAUAUACACAUCUGACGUGAACAUAUCAGCAGAAGACAAGCUAAAGUUCCAACAUAAGAAAUCAUCAAGCUUAUAAAUACAAACGUUUGGUACAAGUUUUUAUAUAUAAAAAAUAUGGGGGAUCGAAAACACUAAGACAAACUGCAAGAGUGGUUCACCACCCGACCUCCAUAAGAAAGUCCUUGAAUGCAGCUAGAAGCUCGUCAUCUCGUAUUUUUAACAAUCAGCCUAUUCAUUUUCACUCAAAAUUCUAUUUUGGAACUAGUAGGUUUAUUGUCGAAGGCAGAUAUAUAGGACGGUGUGGAUUUGAAGAUUGAAUAUAAGGUUGAACAGAAAAACUUCAUUAGCUUAAAUGAGAACAUAUAAAUGUUUGUGUGGAUUACGAUAUAAUUUUCAUAUUGCCGACUAUCAGUAUCAUAACAAAUAUAUGUCUACUAGAUGUUUUUGUUCAUUAUUCGUAUAAUUUUCAGUAUUACCGACUAACAUGCUAAAUGCAUGUGUAACUUAUAAUUUAUAACCACAAAAAUUAACCGAUGUUAUUAACAUUCUUUGACAUUUAAUAACAUAAUAACAUGUAAAACAAAACUUGAUAUUCAUCUUUUGAAACACAAUAUAUAACAAAUUCAAAAUGCAAAUACAGCAAAAGCAAAUGAUAUGCUAAUUAGUGUUUUAUCUGAUCAAUACAAUAGUUUGAUUAGAAAAAAUAUUUAUUUCUCUGACAAGAAUAUAUGUUUCAUUCAGAAUUUUCAGAAUGUAUAUAAAUUUAGGCUACUUCCACAAAUGAUACUCCUUGAAAAAAAAACUUCGGCAAAUCAACACAAUAAUAACACAAGGUUCUCUCCAAAGUGUGACACAUCAGAUUUUUAGAGCUUUGACAAGAUGACAUGUCAAUAAAUGAAAAAACUUAACUAUCCAAUCAAAACAUUUAGUUUAUACACAUCACAUCUGAGAAUACACGUAAUGGUUUUCCCUCUUCCUCUUCGGGGGAUAGAAAACGCCUAUGAACUGAUUGCACGGGCCAAAGCAUUUUCUCUCUAGAUCUCCUUUCGCCUUCUUCGUCUCCGGUCUCGGCGUCCUAUGCCGGUCCGUGAGAAGGUUCUCCGCUCCCAUUAUAGUUAUCGGAACCGUUCUUAACUGACGGUGGUUACAAACCGAGGAGGCACAUCUGUUCAUCUCCUAGAUCUGGAUUGGUUCCUGUUGCGGCGGACCACGACGUGAACCCUGGCUCGUCGACUCAACGGCAGGCCCUCUUCGCUUGAGGACGGUGCAGAGGCUAGCUAGAGGUCGCAAGUCAGUUCAUCGGGGCUAGGGUUUUGCUCCAGCGGUUGUGAGGGUUACGGCGACAACGGGUCCUGAUGAAGGAUGGCGGUUUCUUCAGUACUCUAGCCCAAUGAAGCUCGGAUCUGCUCUUGACAUGCUGAUUUUCUAGAUGUGCGUUGAAUCUAGACCAUGCGUGACGACGAGGCGUCAUCGGAGACGGCAGGAGGAGAGCGAGAAUCAGGCGUCUUGGCGAGUCUGCCGACAUGGCCGCGAGAGCAACUCCACCUCUGAAGCUUCAUCGUGAAUAAAUCGAUUAGCUGGUUUUGGACACACCGGCUUUGAGAAGUUCCGGUGAUGUCGGAUAUGGUGGAUAGCUUGUGUCCGCCGGAGAUGGAAGUCAAGUGCUUCAAGCAUUCUUUCCCACACUCGCAUUUCCCCUCUGUAGUUUUUGUAUUGAUUCUCCAUUAGGAUUUAGCUAAGUUUCCUCCAUGGUUUUAAGUUUUCACUGUUUCUCCGACGUUAGUCGGUGUUGUAACCACUGAUGCUCCAAUUUUUAAGGAUUUUUAUAAUAUACUAUUAUUAUUAUAAAAAAAAUGAUUCUCCCUCUUCCCAUCCAAAUGAAGCCACCAUCGUUUUCAUUAAGUUUUGAUUUUGAUCCUAAGACUUUUCAUCAAAAAACAGGAAGCCCACUAAAACUUAGGACAUAGCAUGGGGUAGAUCGAUUUGACGGUGUUAAGAUGUGUUAAGAAAAGUCCUCACUUAUAAAGGACGUCAAUGUAGAGGCCAAAGCAGAGGAUAUAAAAGAGAGAGAGAGAGAUGACGACGGCACUGCAAUCUCGGGUUGUUUCAUCAGGAAGAGAUAUUACUCAUAUGAGAGUUUUCUUAACAAUAAUAGUCACCAGUCUCCUCAAUAGCUUAACUAUUCAGCUCCACAUACGUUGGUUGUUUCUGUGGUUAACUUAGAUCAGGUCUCGUAAAAGGAAAUCUUUGUAGAUGUGAGGUGAAAAAUAAAAUUGGAAAAAGGAGCAUAGAUGAUCAAACGUCCAAAGACACGAGUUAUGUCUUUUAGGAUUAUCAGGGAAAUGUUUAAGAAAACUCUAAAGCUUAUGUUUCUUCUUCUUGAGAUAUCACAGAACAGCCAUGGACCUUUCAGUUUUUUUUUCUCUGUAUGAUUGUCUACAGACUGCAAAUCACUAACCGAAGAUAGCAACUUGAUAAAAUAUGCAGGAGGUGAACGCAGAAGCUAAGAAACUCGAGCUCCUCUUUGAGUUAUUAACGCUCGCAGAAACGAAGCAAGCCAUGAUCAUUUUAUUGGAAUUUCUUUUUUCUAAGAUCGUUUACGAUCUUCAAACAGCCAAGUCCAGUAUCCAGUGAUCAUCAACAAGAACAACAACAGUAUCACCAAGUUUUCUUUCCUUCCUUUUACUUACAUUUUGAAAAUGAUUGUUUAUACCAAAAAUUUGUGUUUAUUUGAACUACAUGCCAAGUUCACCCAUGCUACAACCUUCUUUACCCAAUUAUCAUAGUAGUUUUAUGUGUGUGUCUCCAACGAAUCUGAGAGGUAACUAACAUCUAUCAUCUUUAUUUUUAGGACAGGCUGUUCGAGAAGGCCAUUGCUCAGUUUCAAAUACUUGUAACCUGCAUUCUGUAUCUAGAUGUACCUACACAUGACUGAUAAUCAUUUUGACUUGUGAAGUGAUUUGGGAGCAGCAAUACAAUCAUUAAAGAUCAUGGUCAUUGGGACUGUGUUUCAGGGCUGUCAGUAGCGCAAGUAAUGAAGCAGAUGAUAGUCUACCGACAUCAGCCACUUGUAAAAAAGCCUUCUCAAGCUUCCACCCUAUCAAUGGUUUGUCCCCCAUAAGUUAUGGGCCAUAACACAUCAUCUCCAUUGGAUUUUGCUUACUUCAAGAAAACCUCGGUCAUUUGUCUCGAAUCACUUGUAUUGCACUCGAUGUUAUAUAAUUGGAGAAAUCAAAUUAAAUCUCUUUGUCAGUAAUGCAGCAAAGAGAAACUUGAGACCAAAUUGAUGUACGCCAUAAGCGUCGAAGCUGGUUUUGAUCUGAGCUGAAUAGCUUUUGUAACUACUCAAUGGAAAAUGCUUGUUCAUCUACUAAACGAACGCCAUUCCACUGCUGGUCCAGAGCUUUCGGGUAUGUUUUAGUCUAACUCCUAGAUUAUUUACGUGACAAAGCAACUCUUAUCAAUAUAAGUGGUUGUUCUUUCUCAUAUGAUACAUUUCUUGUUUCAUCUGUCUUUUUAUAUAUAUUUUUCUUUUCUUGGCAGUUCGCUUUUCCGUUGUAUCACCAAGUACAGUAUUUUAACAAGAGGAACUCACUAAAGUUGCAGGAAUCUAACAAUAUGAUUCAAUCUUAAAAGGAGCAAUUUAUCUGUUAAGUGCAUAAAACAUUGACUUUGUUCAAAAUUAUUAUGUGAAACCUCUUCUUUUUAUAGUGUACAAUAUCUAUGAUUCUCGAUAACUGCACUAUAUUUUCAAGGUAGCAUAUUCUUACAAUUAAGUAACUUCUAUUGAUAUUUUCCUUUUUUUUUGAUAAAAUUUUUUAAAAUUUUUUAAAAUUUUUCUUUUUAUUUUCUUUCUGUUUGGUGUGUUUGGGUGCUCGAUCGCUGGCUGGCCUUUGGGAACACUGAUAUAUUCUACCAUCACAUUUCAACCAAAAUUUCUUUUGAUAUCAAAAGUUGAAAAAAUAUAGUAAAUAUAAUACUUACGGCAUAGCGCGGGUAUUUACCUAGUGAUGGUAAAGAGGAAAUGUGACUAAAGCUGGAAUAUAUGAAAGUGCGAAUUCAAUAAAUAGUGUUCAAUGUCAGAGAAAUUUACUCUAAAGCACACUUUAUAUCCAGUACAAUUACUCAUAAAUUUAACAUUUACUAUGAAAAAGGAGAGUUAAUUAUCGCCACUCUUCUCAAGAUCACUCGUCAACAUGUCACGUUGGCCGUUAACGUUGGGGAAAAAAUCUCCCAGCCCACCCACUACAAAACAUUAUAAGAAAAGAAACUAGAAACUGUAAUUUUAGGAAAAGGAAAAAAAAAGUUGACCAAAAAAAAAGGAAAAGGAAAAAAAAAAGAGUUGAUGCCUAACACAUAUAUAUAUAUGACCCUAAGUUAGUGUGGAUCACGCACUUUCAAAACCUAAAAAGCUUAAGGUAUGUUUUCUUCUGUCUUCUUCUUUUGCUUGCAAAAGUUAUUUUCAUUUUUUACUUGCAAAAACUAAUAAGCUUGACGUCUGUGUUCUAUCUUCUUCUUCGUCUUUACUUCUAUUUUAAGUUUGAUUUAACAUGUAUUGUACUUGAGGUAUCAUUUUGACUUAGAUCCUUUGUAAAAUUGCUAAAUCAAAACUUAAACCAACAUCAACCAAAUUUGCAUGUAUUAGAAGUUGAUUUACAAAUUUAAUUACUUUUCCUGCUUAAAAAAUAAAAAAAGAAAAUAAUGAUUUUUGAAAACUUACGUUGCCAAGUUGAGUCCACCUAAUUUUGAGCUGGUCAAAGAUUUUUAUAAUCUUUCUUGUUCCUAUUUUUUUGAAUUAUUCAAAAUUUUAACUAAUUAUUAAACAAAAUCUUAAGCGUUGAUAUGAUAUAAUAAUUCAAAAAUACCAAUUAUAAAAUUAUAUAUAUAUGACCCUAAGUUAGUGUGGAUCACACACUUUCAAAACCUAAAAAGCUUAAGGUAUGUUUUCUUCUGUCUUCUUCUUUUGCUUGCAAAAGUUAUUUUCAUUUUUUACUUGCAAAAACUAAUAAGCUUGACGUCUGUGUUCUAUCUUCUUCUUCGUCUUUACUUCCAAAAGAUAUAUUUUUUUUUCUUGAAGAAACCAAUAAGCUUAUGUUCAGUUUUUCUGUCUUCUUCUUGUGAAAAUCAUAUUUUCAUUUUUUUACUUGCAUUAGCUUUAUAGAUCGUUUUAAAUAAUAGAGUACCUUUUUAUGUUUACUAAUUUUUUUUUUGGAUGAAGAUGUCUAAUAAUGAAAAUGUUGAUGAUGCUGGUGUUGGUGCUGAUGACGGCGGUGGAACUACACGUCGUAAGGUAAACUUUAUAAUUGAUAUGUCAAAAUUUUAACUUAUAUGAAGUUAUAGUAUUUUAAUAAUUUUAACAUAACUAUAGAAACAAAAACAAAUUAUAUGGGAAGAUGAGCAUGUUGGGGUAUUCUUGGAGCUUCUCGAUAUUGAGUUGGCUAAAAUUAGAUACAGACAAAAGUUACCGAAAGAGGUAGGGAGAGAGCGUAUUUGUAAAGAGUUUUUGGAGAAAACUGGUAUAAGCCUUUCUUGGGAGCCUUUCAAAAGCAAAUACGAUAUAUUGAGAAAUAUGUAUGGAUCGUAUAAAAGGCUCAAGAAUUUUACUGGAGUUUCAGCAGAUGACAAUACCGGUUUGAUUGAGAUGGAUUCUGAAUGGUGGGACGAUCGCGAAAAGGUACAUUAGUGUACAUAGUUGAUAUUUAAAAAUCAAUUAACAAACCUUGUUACUGAUAUUUACGUUGUAUUCGUUAUUUUUUGUGUUGUGCAGGAGAUUCAAUAUGCAAAAAAGAUCCGUGAAAAUGGGAUUCCACACAUGGAACUUAUGAGACGGAUAUUUGGACGUCAAGGCAGUAAACCAGAAGCUAUGUACUCAACUCAUGUGCAAGAUGCUGAACAAAAUGAGCAACUGGAUAAAUCAGUUCCAGAAACCCAAGACAACGAUGGAGACCAUACAAAUGAUGUGCAUCACCACUCACAAACCAUUUCACUAGACUCUCCUCCAAGGUCACCUAUUGGUCCAUCAAAGCGGUCAAACAGAAAACAGGCACGUGUUGCUCCAUACGAAAGCGGUCGAGGGAAAGACGUUGCACUCAGCCGCGAGAAGAACAUCCCACGAAGAAGAAAGUCAUUUGAAAAGGAGAUAAAUGAGCAGUUCAAAGAAAUGAUGGAAUUACGUCGUUCUCAAGUUGCAGAAGCAAAAGAGCGCAGAGAAAAAAAUGACGCUCAACCAUUUAAAGAGGCAUAUGAAAUCUUGAAAUCAAUUCAAGGUCUAACAAGGUGGACAGAUUUUUGGUGGGCUUGCAUCAAAGUACUAAAAGAAGAUCCAUUUGCCAGAGAAAUGAUUUUCUACAAUGAGAGUGAUCAUGAUAGGAUUACCUUUUUGGAGGGUUAUACAGGAUAUGAUCUUCAUGGAAAUUUCUCCGGAGAACGUUUCAAGGCUUUGCAACAUUGUCAUGGUGAUCCUUCAAGUGCCAACCCAGAGCAAAACAUCAUAAGACCAACCAUGGAGAGUUACAAGGAUUGGCCAUUUUUUAGUGGAUUUAUUGGGGCACUAGAUGGAACACAUGUCAGAGUUAAGGUUGGAGGUAGUGAUGCAGUUGGGUACUGGGAUAGGCAUGGACAAACAAGUUUAAACAUAAUGGGCAUAUGUGAUAUAAACAUGAUCUUCACGUAUGCAUGGCUAGGUGCAUCUGGGUCUACACAUGAUUCAUUGGUGUUGCAAUAUGCAAUAGAUGGAGACCCUAUAUUCCCUAAACCUCCUAUAGGUAAAUACUAUCUUGUUGAUUCUGGAUAUGCUAAUAAGCGAGGAUUUCUAGCCCCAUACAGAGGAAGCAGUAAAGAAAAUAUCAGAUAUCAUCUCUCGGAAUUUGAUGAUGGCCCUCCUAGAAACAAGAAGGAAUUGUUCAAUAAAUGGCAUGCAUCACUUCGCUCAGUCAUCGAAAGAACUUUCGGAGUUUGGAAAAAGAAAUGGAGAAUUCUUGAUAACUUGCCUCGCUAUGACGUCAAGAUUAAAUAUCAUUUUAUAAUUAUUGUUAUUUCAUUUUUUUAUUAUUUAUAUUAGAAUAAAUAUUAUUAUUCGAUUAUAAUAUUUAGAAAUAAUAUAUGUUGAAAAUUAUUUUUCAAAUUUAAUACUUAUUUAAAACAUUUUUAAAUAUUUAAUGGUUUAUUUGUUUUUAAUAAAUAUAUCACUAUUAAUAUGUUUAUAUAUUCAUUUAUUUUAUUAAGAAAUUCAUACUGCAACUUAUACAUCAAAAAAGUUACCAGUCAAUAGUUCUUAAAAAAUGAUUACUCUUAUUUUUACUGCGAACUUACCACAUAAACUUACAGUUUAUACCACAUAAUUUUUACUGCAAGUUACAUCGAAUUACAAAUCAUACUGCAAUUCGGCUUUAAUACUACAUGUCACCAGUCGGAGCCAUAGAGAUAUCCUCUUGUAGCCAUCACAAAAAAUAAUCAAUCAUCUUGUAACUACUAUAAGUCAUCCUUCUUUGAUUCUUGAGUCCCCGAUUGAAUUUAUCUGAACAUAGAGAUUAGAGACCUGAAGAACACUUCAUCACAGGGUAUGAUUACGCCCAUAUUAUGGUCAAAACCAUACUCUUCCUCGGCUAGUCGGAGUAACGUUUGAAACUCGGAGUGUUCGAGCCACGAGAUGGGAAUGAUGUACCGACUUCGGUUUGGUCCAACGUAAACCGGAAAAUGACCUUUCGGCACGUCUUGAGGAAGACCAUCUUCUUGUUUAUAGUAGCAAUCGGUGACGUUCUUAUUCUUCCCUAGGCUCGACGAGCAUCUCUUUAAGAUUUUCUUGAUUGAUGCUGCUUGAGAUGACUUCUUUAUCGCCAUUAUUUUACUUUAAAACUUUUUUUUCUUCUUGAGAUUGCAAACAUGAUUUGGAAUGAACAUUUAUAAAAAAAAAAAAAUUUAUUGGAUUUUUUAAUUUUAAAGGUCAUGUUAUUAUUAUUGUUAUUUCAUUUUUUAUUAUUAUUUAUAUUAGAAUAAAUAUUAUUAUUCGAUUAUAAUAUUUAGAAAUAAUAUAUGUUGAAAAUUAUUUUUCAAAUUUAAUACUUAUUUAAAACAUUUUUAAAUAUUUAAUGGUUUAUUUGUUUUUAAUAAAUAUAUCACUAUUAAUAUGUUUAUAUAUUCAUUUAUUUUAUUAAGAAAUUCAUACUGCAACUUAUACAUCAAAAAAGUUACCAGUCAAUAGUUUUUAAAAAAUGAUUACUCUUAUUUUUACUGCGAACUUACCACAUAAACUUACAGUUUAUACCACAUAAUUUUUACUGCAAGUUACAUCGAAUUACAAAUCAUACUGCAACUCGGCUUUAAUACUACAUGUCACCAGUCGGAGCCAACGUUUUCUCUUUUAAAAAUAUGUUCCAGUAACCAUAAAAAUGAUAUAGCGGACCAAACAACAUCAACCUUCGAAAAAAUAAAAUUUACGACUGUACUUGUAAACUGGUCACAAUGCACUUCUAAAGCUAAGAUACAACUUUUUAUUAUAUACUUACGGUAUGUUUUGGUAAUUUGGUGAGUAUAUAACUAUAGAAUGAUUGUUUUAAAAAAAACGAUAUAAUGAUUAAUUGGGUUUGACCAAAUGAUGACUAUAUUGUCUGUAUUAUUAAAUGUAGGUUAAAACAUUUACAUUUACAUGUACAUAUAGUCAUAUAGAUAUAUAUGGUAUUAGAAUAAAUGCACAAGACUAUACUUUUCUAAUUUGUUAAUUCACUUAUUGAUCAUAAUUAGGUUGACUAUUUAUGCAUUGAAAAAUCUAGUGAGUAGAUUAUGUAUAAAUUCAACGUAAUUAAAAAAGAAAUUAUACAGUAAUAUACUAAUAUAUUUUCCCUAAUCUGAUCAUAACCUUAUUUUUUGAGAUCAUAUAAAGCCAAAUUUCUUGGUUGGAUUCAAACUAGGACAUCUUAAAAGAUUUAUGUUCUUGUGAAAGCAAAAUCAUGUGCGUUGUUGGAGGCAAGGGCUAACAAACAUUGAGGACAGAGCCACAAGAACGAGAGAGAGAAAUGAAAUUAAAAUUCUGAAAGAAUGUAUACAAAAUUUAGUUGGGUAGGACUAUAACAUUGCCCUACAGUGUCUCCCUUUUGACUUUACAUAAUUAGACACAAUUUUACAAACAAAUGUCCACGUUGUCUCUCUUACCUCUAAUAUAUAUACAUCAUAUAAACGAGACCAUGGUCUGGUAUAUAUCUUAGUAUAGUAUGUUAUUUAUGUACAUGCUUACGGACGAAAUAAUAGUUUUUGUAAGUUGUAGCCAACGUACGUAUACUGGCGGUGAUACAUAUAUUAUAAAGGAGUCGUCACAUUACAUAUCGCAAAACCUUUUGUCUUUAUUUCUCAUAAAUUAACUAACACAUGUAUGCAGAGAAAAAUUUGAAGUUGUUUUGCUACAACUGGCCAUUACUGAAUCAUACAUUAACGCCCAUUUCGCUCAUAACAAAAGAUAACAUGAUGUUUUCUUCUAACAAUUAAUGUCGUCUAGAUCUAAGACAAAACUAAUAGAUUUGAAGUUUCCGUUUUUUACAUUUGAAAAUUUGACCAAUAAUAUGUUUGUUCUAGAAGUUUUUGAACAAACUACUGAACUGUUUGGUUAAACAUCACUUGAAGACCCGAACUUUUAAAAAUAUAAGAAUCAACGGAUUUAUUAUGUAGGUCACUUUUGGAUUAUAUCAAAUAGAGUAAUUUGUUAGGCACUUUUUAAUUUAACAAAUACUGCUAUCAAUCAUCGGCAGUAACUGAUGACUAUGUUUUAGAAAAAAAAAUGAUGAAUUUGUUGUUCUUCAGAAAUAAUAUCAGUUAAAUUGAAUUUUUUUUGUCAAACUAGUAACAUGUGGGUUCCAUUUCAUUCCUCAUUCUUUCUCAUAUAUAAUUGAAAUAAUGAAGAAAUAUUUUUCUCCUCUAAUUUUGAUAUCAAAUGUUUGUUCCUCUCUUUUCAAUUUUUUUAAAUUUAUUUCUUCAAAUGAAUUUUUUUCCAACAUCUUUUCCAUAUUUUUCAUUCAAUAAGUGGCUAUCAAUUAAAGCCAUCACGUUUAAAAACAAUUUUUAAUUUUUCUCCUUUUAAAUGUGAACUAAAUCAUUUUAAAUAUGGAUUGAAUCCUUUAAAAUUUUAAAUUCCUCAAUUUUGAAGUUAACUUCUACAUUACAUUUUUAAAUUUUAUAUCUAAUAAUCUAAAUUAUCUGAAAACUAUGAACCAAAUACCUAGAAAUAACAACCUAACGAUAAUAACAAAAUACAUAUAAUGGUAGAGGAUGCAUGUGUUACAAAGAAAAAAGAAAACAAAGUCGGGAAAAAAAGAAAAAAAAAGAAAGAAAGAUAAAAGCAAGAUACUUUAGUGAAAUUUUCUCAUUGGUCUAUACCUUUUGACAAGGAUAACUGUCUUAACCAUUGAUCAAUUUGAUCUAAUGGCUCAUAUUACUUCAUUCCUUUUUCUCUCGUUCUCCCAUGUACCUUUUCCUCUGUAAACAAGUAUUAUCUUCUUCUACAAACGAUUCUCUUCCUCUUAACACAAACAAAUCGAUUUCAUCGAUUCUGGUCACCUAAUUCCUUUCUUCUACUCCACUCACAUAAUCUUUUCACCAACCACUAUAGUAUUUUAUCAAACCGAAUCUCUUCCUUCUGCCAUCACCAGAUCUCCUUCACUGUCUACCAAAUCUACUCCUACGAUACGAUGUUGUUGUUGCGCCUGAGACUGGUGUGAAAUGCAGUUAUCGUCGGAGUUGUUCUCGCACACGGAGAUUCGAUGUUCGGCAUCAGAUCUAGAUCGUACAAACAUCUCGGCUCACAGAUCUGGUAUGAGACAAUUUGGAGUAAAGAACAGCUGGAGUAGUGGAGGCACACCAGAGGCGAAGGAUGAGAUAGCAGAGACAUGCCGCAUGUAGUGACGAGGCGGAGGAGUGACGAACCGCAGGCAGAGGCGCGACUAACCGAAUGCAGAGGCGCGACGUGACAAACCAGAGGCUAGGGCGGAGCUGUGCCGGCGAAGUUAAAUCUCCGGUCAAGCUCACGCUUUUGUAUAUGUGUGUAUAUAUGUUAUACUUAUAUGUAUGAUAUAUAAAUAUGUAUAUGACACCAUAUAUACGAAAAACAUAUUUGUAUUGUUUUUUAAUUCAUUAAUUCUUAAUUUGCUAAUUAUUUUUUUUUGUUUUUUUUUUAAUAAAUAGUCACGGAAUAGUCACAAACACUAAGCGUGACAAAUAUAAACCACGAAAAUAACAGUGUCAAAAACGUGACUGUUUUAUACACGUUUAGUCACGGUAAAUUUUGGUCACGAUCGUAUACACACGAAAUUUUUUCGUGACUUUUCGUGUCUACAUCAAUGUAUAGUCACGAAAAAUUAGCGUUAGUCAUGAAAAUUUUCGUGUCUAUAUAACAUUUUUCUACUAGUGUGUGUUAUUUGAAACUUACUAAUACAAAUUCUAAAUUAAUAACAGUCAGUUAAUUAAUCAAUUUAAAUUUGUUUUCAGCAUACAUAUAAUACGUACCCUUUGUUUUGGACAAAUAUAAUACGUUUCUAAACCUAAGAUGGUAAGCAUAAAGGAUUUAAGUCCCCAUGUGAAAAUUAGAACAAUGCUUUAGGCUCAAACCUAAUCUUUUGUUUUAUUAUGAUUACAUCCUCAAAGUUAAAGUUUUGUGUUUACGUACUUCCUUUUCACGUACCUCUUGCCGUCCUUCCCAUUUUCUUACUUGUCUAUGCAUGUGGUCAUAAUCAACAUAUCAUAUCUUAGUUUCCAUUCGAUUUAUUGUAGUCUGUUCAGUCCAUAUGAUAAAAAGAGUCAGUCUAUAAUGAACAAUGAAAACUAAAAUUCCUUUGGCUAAUAAUAUUAAUUCUUGGUGCGACAUAUGAAGGAGACAAAUACAUAAAUAUAUUCCAGAAAUUAGAAUUUAUGGCCCCAGAAAUUGAGAUAAUAAGCAUGAGUCUUUGUCCAGAAUUUCUUGAUUGACAGUUUUUACCAUUCUUUCUUAUCACUUAUAUUAUUUUCUGUGCACUAUCACUUAUAUUUUCAAAAAUAAAUCUACCUAUGCAUAUGCGUUGAACAUGUUAAAAAUAUAAUUAAGACAAGAGACUACAAUACUAGUUACUAAAACUAGAUUUAUACGAUAUUCUUUUCCACUAGAGUUUUCAGCUUUGCAUGAUGAAGUUGAUCAGUAUGGUUACAUUUCUCAGUUUGAAUCAAAGAUCGAUAGCAAAUUACACACUAUUUCGUCAGAUAUUAAGUACUAAAAACCAAUAAAAAUGUAGACAAAUCUUGAGAAGAAAACAAAACAAAACAAUAACAACAAAAUAAUAAACUUUAAGCAAAAUAAUAAUAAACAAAUAAAGAAAAUGUCAAAAUGAUGGGUGGUGUAGGAUCGAAGGGUGGACAGUGGAAUGAUGGUGGAACAAAGACACUUGGUUGACUAUAUAAUUGGGGCACUUGUUGUGGUUCUAACUCGGAGACAUUAUCGAUUCAUUCUUCCUUGACAUCAACCGAAAGUACCAACACCUUCUUCUGCUUAAGAUAAUCCUUUAUGCGUAUCAUUGCGUAUCUCACUCAAUGAUUUAUAAUAUAUAACACUUCUUUUACAUUUUACCAAAAAUAAAAACACUUCAUUUACUAGUUUUGUAAAUAAAACUCAUCAUUAGCACUCUUAGGACUCAAAUAAGGUCUAGUGUAUAUGUGGGGGAGAUAAGCGAAUAUAUUUCUAAGCAACUGAAAUCAGUUUACAAACUCAUCAAACCGACAAUAGUAUGAGAGUCUAAGCACACACUAACCAACUCAAGCUAAAAUCAAUCUAAACCAAUAUUGGUUAGGUCGAUCUAAAACUAACGAUAUUUUAUCGAAGGUAAAAAAUAAUUAUCUCAAAUAAACAUAUAAUAUAAUGGAAAUAAAAUGAGAUUUUUUUUAUGUAUGAACAGAAAAUGAGUAUUUGUAUAAAUAAAAUGAGUAUUUGUAUAUAUAAAAUGAAAUAGUCCUUAAGUGAAUUGUAUUUUGUUGAAAUUUUUUGUUACUGGUUGAAAACUAUAAAUUUUAAUAUCAACAUUAUAUGUAUAUUAAAACAUCAAUAAUGAAAAAUAAUAUUAUAAACAAAUGCAUACAUAAAUGAGUUAGUACAUUAUUGUGUCCCUGGUGAAUGACAUGUAUCAUCAAUACUUCAUUGGAAAUCCAAUUAUAUUUGAUCAAUCUUAUCCUGACUUUGAACUUUUUUUUUUUUCCAUCUAAAAUUUUAUUGAUAAAGUUUAAAACAUACAAAAAGCCCAAAAGAAAGGGGCUCUAACAUCCAAACCCAAACUAGAACCCAAGAGCAUAAACACUCGUCCAAACUACAGACGAGCCCAAGACUGGCCCAUCCUAAACAAACGUGACAACACAUCAGAACGUGUUGCACCGAGCGAUAAAAAAGAAACACGUGUUUCCGGAGCCUCCACCAUGUUCACCGCCGGAAACAUCGUCAACGGACCAAACCACUGCAUCAGCUAAACAUCGGAGUCAACCGGGAACAAGACCACAACCAGAACAACCUCCAACACCUGUAUUGAAAGUUCUCAUAGAACAUCAAACGACCGAUGUCGCGAUCUCAUCCCACACCCCAAGCCCCAUCACACACAUCGAACCACCAGAUCUACGAUUCAAUAAAAAACAAAUCGACUACAAUCGAUCUUUCAUCCUUUGAUUUUCAUAGGAUGGAGGAAGGAGAGUCAAUCGGACGGAGGAAUUACACGAAUCGUAGAUCUUUCAGAUUUGAACCAUAAACCAUCGGACCCACCAACAGAAAUAACUCCGGAAAAGAAAAUCUCCGUCAACACAAAGGAACAGUGCGACGCGAAGCCAAAGCCGACCGUUCACCUUCAACGAACAGGUGCAGCGCCGGAAUCAAAAGCCGACCGACCACUGAAAGGAAAGUGCAUCGCCGGAAGAGCCCAACCAAGGGCGGAGUUUUGCCGGUUUCAUCUCAUCACUUCCUUCUGUAAAAGAUACGGCGAGAGAGAACAGAAAGGAAGGAGAGAGAAAAACCUUUAAUACUAUUCCUGACUUUGAACUUAACAGUAAGAUGUUAUAUAGAGAAUUAAGAUUAAUUUCGGAAACAACUGUUAUAAGAAUUUUUAAAUUAUAAAAAUUUAAAAAGGGGAAAGUCAGACGUGUUAUGUUCAGCAAUCAGCAUAUACCUCUGGAAAAUAUUAAUUAAAUACUUGUUUGGCAGAAACAAAAAGAAAUAAGAGAGUACUACAUAGGUCAUAAGAAAUAAGGAAUGGCAUACACUUUUCUCAUAUUCUUAUACAGAAUAUCUGAGACUGGUGGGAUCGGAUCAUAGACCUGUGGUAAUUUUUUUGGAAGAUAAG
rnacentral:lncRNA from 1 species